rnacentral:lncRNA from 1 species
UUAUUUACAUAUAAAAGUUUAAAAAGUAACAUAUAGCUAAGAGAGAAGAGGAAAACAGAAAGAUGAUGAUGAUAAUGAUGGAGUGGAAAUGGUUAUGGUUUAUAAGGAUGGCAGUAAUGUUGUUGGUGUUAGAAGGGUGCAGGUGGUGUACUACUGAUGCUUGUUUGGAGCAUGAGUCGCCUUCUUGCAUCUCAAACCUUUCUUCAAUUAUGAUAAUCAAUUGAAAAGUUGGAUUGAGGUGAAGGGUUCAGAUUGUUGUAAAUGGAAAAGAGUUGAGUGCAACACCAUCACUAGGAGAGUCAUACAACUCUCCCUUAAUCAUACAUCAUCCAAUAUAUAAAUGAAUUAAUGAAUUUACCUUUCAAAAGAGAAAAAAAGAAUUCAUAAAUUUUGAAAUACAAAAUGAACGUGUUUUGAUAUUUUUAGGGCAAUGGUUUAGUGGUUCAAAAUUUUGAUUUAAUAUGGUGAAUUUAAUUAUAAUUUUUUAUAUAUUAGAUAGUAGAAUAUAUUUUACCAUUUAUAAUUAAGUACAAUUAAGUUUAGGUUAAAAUAUUUUAUUAAAUUUUUGUACUUUUCACAAAUUUUAAAUUUAAUCUGUUUACUUUUAUUCUAGAAUUUAAUCUCUCUGCAUGUAAAGGAGGUUAUUAUGGCAAGGGGAAUUACCAUGGCAGAGGUAGCCGAGGCUGACGAAGAGAUGCUGGAUAUGCUGAAGAAAGAUAGAUGGCUGAGAAACAGAAAACUUUAGGAACAAUAUUCAGUGUUAGAAGUAUGGGGAUGUGAAGGCAGAUUGUUGGAAAAGGGGAAACAAGCAAAUUUUGCGGAAGAUGAUGAAGAGAUUUAAAUUAUUUAUGAGCUGUCUAGAUGACACUAUAGCUUCAACUAACAUUUGGUUUCAAGGGCGUAUAUCUCAUGAUGAAGAGAUCGUCUCUCUUCUUUUUUUCUCAUAACAUAUUACACGCCAUGAUAAUAAAUAUUGAUAUGCCUAUAAAUUUGAGUUUCUAUUAUUUGUAGUCAUGAUUUGGUUCACUCCAUAAGUUACAUAAAUUUAUUAUAAUAAUUCAAUUAAUUUUAGAUUAAUUUUACAUUUUUGCCCGAACUUUAGUUUUUAAUAAUUCAAUCAUCCCACCAUUAUAUUCAAUUAAAAGUGUAAUACGAUUUUUGCGUCAUCCAACCAUUAUUCUUAGUGUAAUUUUUGGUAGUGAGCAUAGAAGGACAGCGAGAACAAAGAAAGAAUGUAUCCAAUAACCCACUCCCCUUAUAGUCAAUGCUUAAAAUGAAUAAGAAAAUAGAAAACAAACGUGGCAAUGCCAGCUAAUUUGUUAUUACUAUUCACCGUAUAACUAAGGACAUUACGCACCGUUUUAAUUAAAACAAACUCACCGUUUAAGACCGUUACUUCUAUGCAUCGUUUUAAUCAUAUGCGUCAGUUCGAACAAAUAGGUGAACAUGAAAGCUUUAGAUGUGUGCUUAAAACUCAAACUUUGUGUUCUGUAAAAAUAUUGAUUUUGUUUGUAAUUGUAGGUUGAACUUUGUGAGUCCAAUUACUUUCUUUGGCAUCGGAUAUUUCGUGGAACUUUCGUAUGAGAUAUUUACUUUAUAAAUAGAAGAUUACAAAAUUUGGAUAUUAAUAUAUUUUUCAUGAUUUAAUUUUCUUUUCCUUUUUUGGGCUAAAUAAUUAAUAACGAAAACACGUCUUUUGCUAGCACCUAUAAAUGCCUUAAAAAUGUAAAUUAAUAUUCCACAAUAAUUAUUAAGAUGAAAAGAAUUUUAAUAAUCUAAACUUACGAUUUCAUGUGAAUUUAAUGUUUAGUUAUAGUUUUAAUUACAAAGUUAAAUUGGUAUCUUUGUUAUUGCAAUAAUUAAAAAAAGAUGAGUCCAAAUGACGUUGAUUUUCUGUUUUUUAAAAGUGAAUGCAAGAUGGGACGGCUGGAAUUUUUUUUAUUAAACAGUAAGUAUGAAGCAGUUAUGGUAAUUGCUUGCUCCAUCUCACUCCACUCCACUAUAUAAAAUUAUCAUUUCAUUCUUUUAUAUAUAGAAAAAAAUUAAAUAUUUUAUGAAAAUAAUCAUGUUUAAAUUUCCAAGAAUAAAAGCAAACUGAAGACUUAAAAUUUCCAUUAAUAAAACCAAAAUCAAAGAAGUAAAUUUUCCAUGAAUAAAACAAAAAAUGAAGAUCUAAAUUUUCCAUUAAUAAAGCCAAGUCAAGACUAAGUUUGUAUAAGUGUAAGAAGGGUAUAAAUGAAACUCACAAGAAAGCCACAUGAAGAAUUUUAUAACCCCAAACUACACGAUUUUAUGUCCACCUCUCACUUUUCAUAUUUUUUUGGCCAUUCGUUUUUCAAGAUUAACAUCAGCAUUCUUGUGGUCCGUUCAUCCUUUUCUAAUGAAUUUCCACCAAGAGUUUUAUUUUUCAAAAUGUUAAAUUAACUCAUGAUAUUAAUUAAAUCAAGAAAUUUUAUAAUAAUAGAGAUGAAAAAACUAAAUUUUCAAAAUCAAAACCUAAAAUGUGCAAGAAUAAAAGCAAACUGAAGACUUAAAAUCUCCAUUAAAAAAAUCAAAAUCAAAGAAGUAAAAUUUCCAUGAAUAAAACGAAAAAUGAAGACCUAAAAUUUCCAUUAAUAAAUCCAAGUCAAGACUAAGUUUGUAUAAGCGUAAGAAGGGUAUAAAUGAAACUCACAAGAAAGCCACAUUAAGAAUACACGAUUUUAUGUCCACCUCUCACUUUUCAGUUUUUUUGGUCAUUAGUUAUUCUAAGAUUUAACAUCAACAUUUGAUUUCAAAUCAACGUUAAACCAUGUUUAAACUCUUUUUCUUAUAUAAUAAUUAUAUUAUAUUUAAAAUUGAAAAAACUAACCAGCCAAAUAUAUAUUAAUUAAUUAAUAGAAUUUUUUUUGCUCAUCGAUUAAAAUAAAUCAAGAAAGACGUUGGAACCACCAACCUCUCUUUAAGAACAACAGGAAUACAAGAACCUAUGCACAACAAGUACUAAAAUGUAUUAAGUAAAUUCAUCACCAGGCCUUAAAAAAAGAAGAUCUCGAUAUACCUGCUUUUGCCAAAGCAUCUGCCAUACCAUUACUUUGCCAGUGAAUAAUUCUGAACUGAAACUUAGCCAAUUGAGUGAUAUUAAUUAUAGAAAUGGUUCUUCUUGCAACCAUAGAUGAAACACCACUGAGACUAACAAACUUGGAGAAACUUGAUUAAAUCAAACUUAUGCAAAUUUCUUGAAUAUUUAAGUUAAGAGUUAACGUCAAAGUCAAGAGUUGAUAAGGAUUUUGUGGUCCAUUCAUAUCUUUAUUACAAUAUAUAUAUAUUCAAGAAAUUUGCAGCAAGUUGGAGUUUUGCAAUAAGGAAUUUCCACCAAGAGUUUUGGAAUAAGGAAUUUCCUCCAAGAAUUUUGCAGGAAUCAUAUCUCUAACAAAAGAAAGACCUUCAUUUGACUAAAUUUUUUAGUAUUUAUUUUAACUUCCAUUUUAUUAAAAAAAAAACAGAGGUAAAAAAUAUGCCGAACAGGGUCUUUAGGUUACUUUUCUUAGAACUAUAUUAUGUUAUAGUACCGUAUAAGUUAGAGGAGCACAAGUUUAGAUUCAUCCAAUUUUUGAGGAAUUAAUUAAAUAUAUAUUAUUUUAAUAUUAUAGUGUACAGAGGUAAAGUUAGAAAAUUAAAUUAUAGUUUUUACAAUACUAUAAAAACAAUUUUACUAUUUUAAAAGCAUAUAUAUUUAUAAUUUUUAAAGAAUUAAAUAAAAUUUUUAUCAAUUUUAGAGGGUCAAUGUGUAAUUUUAUCUUUACUAAUUUAAAAUUUUAAAAUAUUUAAAGGACCUAAAUAGAAAAUUUUCUAUUUUAGAGGCGCCUGAGACGCCUGCUAGCCUGUCUAGCUAUGUCCCCGAUAGUGAAUUAGUGGGAUGCCAUAGGUCCUGCUUGUAUAUAAAUAAGAAGCUUAGGCUUCUUCAGAUUAUAUACAUAUAGAAGUUAAAAAUUAACAGACAACUGAGAGAGAAGAGAAAACAGAAAGAUGAUGAUGAUGGAGUGGAAAUGGUUAUGGUUUAUUAGGAUGGCAGUAAUGUUGUUGGUGUUAGAAGGAUGCAGGUGGUGUACUAUUGAUGCUUGUUUGGAGAAUGAGAGAAUUGCUCUCUUGCAUCUCAAACCUUUCUUCAAUUUUCGUGAUGAAUUGAAAAGUUGGGUUGAGGUGAAGGGUUCAGAUUGCUGUGAAUGGGAAAGAGUUGAGUGCAACACCACCACUAGGAGACUCAUACAACUUUCCCUUAAUUCUACGAAAUGGGAAUUCAACGUGGAAUACCGGUAUCCCAAUUCCUGGUAUCUCAAUGCCUCUAUGUUUCUUCCCUUUGAGGAAUUGAGGAGUCUUGAUUUGUCAGAAAAUGCCAUAGCUGGUUGCAUUGAAAAUGAAGGUCGUCCCUUUAAUUUUCCCUUAGUUACAUCUUUUAUUAUUACACUAUUCUCAGCCUUGUUAAUUUGCAAUUACUUUUAUUUUAUUUUAUUUUAUUGAAGAAAGGUCACUAAUUGUUUGUGUAUAUAUUUAAAAGAACACUCUUACAGGUUUUGGAAAGCUAUCAUCCACAUUGAGUAAUUUGGAGAUUCUUGACUUAAGUUUCAAUUACUUGAAUGAUAGCAUUUUGUUAUCUUUGAGUCAGCUUUCAUCUCUCCGAUAUUUGGAUCUAUCAUACAACCGAUUUGAAAGAUCAAGUCAUCCAAGAGGUAAAUUAAGUUUAGUCUGGUGUUAGUUUUUAUUUGUAUGGGGGAGUUUGACAGUGGUUUUCCAUUGUUUUAUUCCCUCUAACUUAGUUUUUGCUUUUAUGGUUGAGAGGAAAAAGAAACAAACAAGUACUUACUCAAAUUAACUAAACAAUGGAGUAUUUUUUUUAUGUUUUGCAGUAACUAAUUCUAUGGUAUAUAAAUCAGGUUUUCAGUGGCUUUCAAGGCUCACUAAAUUGGAAACUCUUCAUCUAAGUGGGAAUUCUUUGAAGAAUAGCAUUUUUUUACAGAUGAGAAAUCUUUCAUCUUUGAAGACUUUAAGUUUGGGUGACAAUCAGUUGGGAGGAAAACUGCUUCAUAUUCAAGGUAGACUGAUUUUACACUUUUCUUGUUAACUUUAAAAUAAAUUUAUAUUCAAGGAAAAGUGGUUGCAGUAUGUGAUUUGAUUUUAUCAUAUCAAUAUUUGAGAUUGAAUUUCAGAAUUGAAUCAUUUGGCAAACUUGAAGUACUUGGAUUUAAGUGGCAACAAAAUUGAAAGCAUCUCAAACAAAGGUAUAAGUAUUAAUUUGUGCAUGACUUUCCUAACAGACUUCAAAUGUAUUUUCUUUGUUUUUUUCCUUUUCAUAUGGUUGAGAGGAAAAAAGAUCCUUAUAAUCUUAAAGAGUUGAUUUUGAGAGUUGGUCAUGAGAGAAUGGGUCCUUAAAAUCCUUAAGACCAGGGAGUUUGUGUCCACAGUUGAGUAUUCCAUUUGAAAACUGAAAAUUAAAUAUUCUAUUGCUUUAUUUCUUUUAAAAGAAAGAUUGAGUUUGGAUCUCCGACUGCUUUAUUUUUUUCAAAGAAAGAAAUAUGUUUAUACUUUUGCGCAGAAGAUAUGAAGAAGUCUUAUUUUGUUCUCGCUUUUGUGCAAGUGAAACUUAGUUAUCUCAAAUAUAUAUAUAUAUAUAUUGUAGUUAUCAGUUCACUACACAAUAGCUUGUUAACCAGUUCCCCCUUUUCAAAUUUAUGACUGGGAGUUGUCCAUGAUUUUCUUUGUGAUUUUCUUUUCACGUUUUAGGAUUUUCAUCUUCACUUCAAGUUUUAGAUUUACUUUUUUUCAUUUUUAUUUCAUUAACUUAAAAAAGGAUUGAAUUUCAGGAUUGAAUAAUUUGUCAAACUUGAAAUACUUGGAUUUAAGUGACAACAACAUUGAAAGCAUCUCAAACCAAGGUAUAAGUAUUUGUGCGUAGUAACUUUCUUGACUGACUAUUAUUCCAAAAGGCAAUGACAGACUUCAAAUGUAUUUUCUUUAGUGAAUUUUUAUUGCAAAAAUGGAGUAUUAUUAUUUAUUUAAGUUUUGUAGUAACUAAUUAUAUAAUAUAUAAAUGAGGUUUUCAAUGGCUCAUUAAAUUGGAAAUUAUUGAUAUAAGUUGGAAUUAUUUGAAGAAUAGCAUUCUUUAAAAUAAAUUCAUGUUGAAGGAAAAGUUGUUGCAAUUUUAUCAUAUCAUGAAUAUAUAUAAGUAAUCAAUAUUUGGGAUUGAAGGUUCAAAAUUGAGUAAUUUAAGUAGGAAGGUAUCUCAAACAAAGUAUUUAUAUAUUGAAUCAAUUCAUGGGAAAGCUUGUAAGUUGGCUCUUCCUUCUCAAACAAACAUUUUUCCUAACUAUUUAUAUCUUCAAUGAUAUUAUUUUCUUCCAAUGAUAGAUGGAACACAAUUGAGGCUAACAAACUUAGAGGAACUUUAUUUAAGUGAUAAUCUCUUUCGGAACAACACAAUUUCCUUUCCUCAAGGGCUUUCAAGCCUAAAGUCUUUGACUUUGUCCAACAACCGUUUGCAAGGCUCAUUACAUACUAAAGGUCCUAAAGCUAUAACUUUGUUUUUCUUGAUAAUUCUUUCUAGAAUCUUUUAAAAUUAAUUGUUUCAAAUUUGAACAUUCACAUUUCACGUUUGAAGAUUUUCAUCUUCACUUCAAGUUUUAGAUUUACUUUUUUUCAUUUUUAUUUUAUUAAAAUAUUAAGUAGAAAUUAAAAUUAUUAACAUAAUGAUUUUUUGAAUUGGACGUGGAUAUGUAUAGGAUCCAUAACCGAACACAUCCAUUUAGCCAUUUUCUGAACCCUUGUUGUUUUAAAACAAUAUUGAGUCUAUUUCACCAAUUUUAUUUAUUAGCUAUUCUUUUGUUCCUUACUUCAUCGUAGAUGAUCGGACGACACAAAUACGACUCGACUCAACACCGAGGCGGUUCGUAUCAUUCAAUUUCGUGUUCUUGGCUUCCAAGAAUCCCCUAUUAAUAAGUGUUUUGAGUUUUGAUUGAUUCUUUAUUGUUUUGGAGUUUUUGUUUCAGAUCUGGAAUUUUAAGAUUUAAAUUGGAUUUAAAAAAAAAACACACUCAUUCCAAUGGAUGGAUAAUGAAUAAUAAGAAAGUGUUGGGCAGGCCCAUUUUUAUGCCAAUUCAUUUGAGUGAUGAAAUUAUAUAAAUCUUUUGUAGAUGGUGGUAGAAAAUUGGAGUUGACCCACUUGGAAGAGCUUUAUUUAGAUUACAAUCACUUCAAUACUAGUGUAUUUGCAUCCCUUAACAAGCUUUCAAAUUUGAAAUCGUUGAGCAUAAGGGUCAAUCAAUUGAAAGGAUCAAUAGAUAUGAAAGGUAAAAAUAUUAGUCUUUUUAACAAGAAUAUAAUCAUGUUUGAAGAGAAUAUAAUGAAAUUGAUUUGUUGUUUUUUGUUUUCCUAGAUUUGGAUGCAUUUAUCAACUUAAGGGAACUAUAUAUGAGCGACAAUGAAUUGAAAAAUUUUGUGAUCCACCAAGGUAUCAUUUAAUUAAACUUCCUUUUUUUUUCUAAUUUAGAAAUUUAGUUUUGAUCUCAAAUGUUAUAAUAACUAAUAAAGAUAUAUCAUAUCAUACUUGAAAGUAAAAUAUGGGUUUGGUGAAACAUUUUCUAAAUCCUCCAUUAUUAUGUGUUUCGACUUUGGUUUGAAACUAAAAUUCUUUAAAAUUUUCAUUAUUUUUAAAUAUUAAUGUUUAUAAUUAUUUUGUUUCUAUAAAUAUAUAUAUUUUUAAAUAAUUUAUUGAAUUUUUAUGAGAUAAAAAAUAAUUAUAACAAUAAAAAAAUGAUAUUAUAAAUAAAUAAAAACAUAUAUUUAUGAGAAAAUAUGUAAUAUAACUAUAUUUUAAUUUCAUAUAUUUUUAAUAGUAUAAAACAUAAAAAUACAUAUUAGAGUUAAAUAAAUGGCAUUUUUUGGAAAAAAUAAAUAAAUGUCAAUUUUGAAUAAUUUAAAAAAAUCUUCAAUUUUAUGAAAUUUAAACAUACAUUUAGAGGUGCUUAAACUUCCAUUGCAAACUUUUUAUAAAUUUCAAAAUGCACAUGUUAUUAACAUAGGUCUACAUACUCUUUACAAAUUUGUAAUUUAAUUCUUAUACUUUUAUUUUCAGGAAUUUAGUCCCUCUAUUUUUUUAAAAUUUCAAAAUCCAAGUUCAAUUAUUAAAAUUGUUAAUUUUUUAAAAUAAUUUGUUGGUGUAACAUUUUGAAGUUAAAAAAAACUUGGUAGCAAUGUAACUAAAAAAUGAUAUAAUGAACAUGGAUUUAAUAAAAUAAUUUUAACAGUAUUAAUAAUUAGACUUGAAUUUUGAAAUUUCACGUUUGUAAAGAGUAAAAGGGAGAUAUGACAUAUUUUAACUUAACUCUGGCCAAUAUUUAGUGCUUUAAAAUUUUCAUUUAAUCCACUGAGUUUACUUAAAAUUCUUUUGACUUUUAUUUAUUGGUGAGUAAAAUAUCAAUUUGAUUUUUUUUUAUAAAGUAUUGGUAACUUUAAAGGUAAUAUAAUAAUUUUAGUGUAGACAUGUUUUAUUUUAUAAAUAUUAUUUAUUGUGUUGUUGAGUGGAGUUUGAAAAUUAUACGAAUUAGCUAUAUCAGCUAAUUACUUAUAUUCAAAAAUAAUAUAAGAAAAUACUUAAAAAAAGUAUAAUUAAUAAAAUGGAUGAAGAGUUAUAUUAAAGAUUCAACAUCUUUCUCUCUAUCAAAAUUUAUCUCGGAUAAAUCAUGAAUAAUCUAACUCAUAAAAAAGAAAACAAAUAUUUAUAUAUUUCAUUUCAUUCACAGAAAAUAAAGCAUUCCACUUAGUAAAGGCUUUCUAUAAUACUAUUAUCUAAUACCUCUUGACAUUGCUUAGAUUCAAAUAAUUAUAACAAUAAAAACAAUGAUAUUAUAAAUAAAAAUACAUAUAUUUUUAAUAGUAUAAAACAUAAAAAUACACAUUAGAAUUAAAUAAAUGGCAUUUUUUGGCCAAAAAUAAAUAAAUGUCAAUUUUGAAUAAUUUAAAAAAAACUUCAAUUUUAUGAAAUUUAAACAUACAUUUUGAGGUGCUUAAAUUUUUUUUUUCAAACUUUUUAUAAACUUCAAAUUGCACAUGUAGUUAACUUUUUGGUUUAAAAAAUUGUGAUAGGUCUACGUACUCUUUACAAAUUUUUAAUUUAAUUCUUGUAUUUUUAUUUUCGGGAAUUUGAUCCCUUUAUUUUUUAAAUUUCAAAAUCCAAGUUCAAUUGUUAACAUUGUUAUUUUUUAAAGUAAUUUAUUGGUGUUGACAUUUUGAAACAGAAGAACUUGGUAGCGAUGUAACUAAAAGAUGACGUAAUGAACAUGGAUUUAAUAAAAUAAUUUCAACAGUAUUAAUAGUUAGACCUGAAUUUUGAAAAUUUAUAUUUGUAAAGAGAAAAAUAUGCACAUUAGAUUUAAAUAAAAAAUAAUAUUUUUUUAGUUUAAAAUUUUCUAUUUUAUAAUAGAACCAUGCAUUUAAAUAAAUGAGAUUUUGAAGAAUUUCCAGAAAAAAAAAAACUAUGAAGGUGAAAUUUAAAUAAAGAAUUUGAGAAGCUAAAAGUCUCUUUCGGAAUUCAUAAAUUUUAAAAUUCAAAGGGAUGUAUUUUGACAAUUUUAGGGCAAUGAUUUAGUGCUUUAAAAUUUUGAUUUAAUAUGGAGAAUUUAAUUAAAAAAUUUAUUUAUUAGAUUGUAAAAUAUUUCUUAACAUUUUUAAUUGAGUACAAAGUAAAUUAAGUUUAAGGGAAAAUAUUUGGUAUUAUGAAUGAAAUUCCUUUUUUUUUAAUUAAAAAAAAUCUGGUUUUUUUUUUUUUAAAUCUGGGUGGUACUAUUAAUGAAAUUCUGGACUUUAUAAGUAGGGUUGAGAUAAUAACAAAUAUCUUAUAUGUUAUAGUAAAAUAUUAAAAAAGAAAUAUUUAAAAGUAGGUUACUGAUCAUUUUUUAACUUCACUUGUAGAGUUAAAAAACUCCAUUACCAGCGUUAAAUACUAAUAUUAAGGUUAAAUGCUAAAUUGAUUUCAAACAUAUUUGAGUUUUUAAAAGAAUAUGCUCAUAUAUUUAAAUCUGAUAUGAAUCAAGAAAAAAAUAUUUUCAGUGGCUCAUUAAAUUGGAAAUUAUUGAUAUAAGCUGGAAUUAUUUGAAGAAUAGCAUUCUUUAAAAUAAAUUCAUGUUGAAGGAAAAGUUAUUUGAAGUUAUUUGAUUUUAUCAUAUCAUGAAUAUUUGGGAUUGAAUUUCAAAAUUGAGUAAAUUAAGUAGGAAGGAAUCUCAAACAAAGUAUUUAUAUAUUGAAUCAAUUAAGUUUUACUUGUAAAAUGUAGUUAUCAAUUCAUGGGAAAGCUUGUAAAUUGGCUCUUCCUUCUCAAACAAUCAUUUUUCCUAACUAUUUAUGUAUGCUCGAGUUUGAUUUUAUCUUACGAUGAAUAUAUAUAACUAAUCAAUAUUUGGGAUUGAAUUUCAGGAUUGAAUAAUUUGACAAAUUUGAAGUACUUGGAUUUAAGUUGGAACGACAUUGAAAGCAUCUCAAACAAAGGUAUAAGUAUUUCUGCAAAACUUUCUUGACCGACUCUUAUUCCAAAAGGCAAUGACAGACUUCAAAUGUAUUUUCUUUAGUGAAUUUUUAUUGCAAAAAUGGAGUAUUAUUAUUUAUUUAUGUUUUGUAGUAACUAAUUAUAUAAUAUAUAAAUCAGGUUUUCAACGGCUCAUUAAAUUGGAAAUUAUUGAUAUAAGUUGGAAUUAUUUGAAGAAUAGAAUUCUUUAAAAUAAAUUCAUGUUGAAGGAAAAGUUGUUGCAAUAUGUUAUAUCAUGAAUAUAUAUAAGUAAUCAAUAUUUGGGAUUGAAUUUCAAAAUUGAGUAAUUUAAGUAGGAAGGUAUCUCAAACAAAGUAUUUAUAUAUUGAAUCAAUUAAGUUUUACUUGUAAAAUGUAGUUUAUCAAUUCAUGGGAAAGCUUGUAAAUUGGCUCUUCCUUCUCAAACAAUCAUUUUUCCUAACUAUUUAUAUCUUGAAUGAUAUUAUUUUCUUCCAAUGAUAGAUGGAACACAAUUGAGGCUAACAAACUUAGAGGAACUUUAUUUGGGUGGUAAUCUCUUUCGGAACAACACAAUUUCCUUUCUGCAAGGGCUUUCAAGCCUAAAGUCUUUGACUUUGUUCAACAGCCGUUUGCAAGGCUCAUUAGAUACUAAAGGUACUAAAGCUAUAACUUUGUUUUUCUUGAUAAUUCUUUCUAGAGCCUUUUAAAAUUAAUUGUUUCAAAUUUGAACAUUCACAUUUCACGUUUGAGGAUUUUUAUCUUCAAUUCAAGUUUUAGAUUUACUUUUUUUUUUCAUUUUUAUUUCAUUAAAAUAUUAAGUAGAAAUUAAAAUUAUUAACAUAAUGAUUUUUUAAAUUGUACGUGGAUAUGUAUAGGAUUGAGCAAUUUAACAAAUUUGAAGAAACUAGAUUUAAGUGGGAAUCAAAUUGAAAGCUUUCAAUCCUUUAAAGGUAUGCAUUUAUAUUUAACCAAUUACCUAAAUUCUUACAUAUAAUUAAAUUUUAUGCCAAUUCAUUUCAGUGAUGAAAUUAUAUAAAUCUUUUGUAGAUGGUGGUAGAAAAUUGGAGUUGACCCACUUGGAAGAGCUUUAUUUAGAUGGAAAUCACUUCAAUACUAGUGUAUUUGCAUCCCUUAACAAGCUUUCAAAUUUGAAAUCGUUGAGCAUAAGGGUCAAUCAAUUGAAAGGAUCAAUAGAUAUGAAAGGUAAAAAUAUUAGUCUUUUUAACAAGAAUAUAAUCAUGUUUGAAGAGAAUAUAAUGAAAUUGAUUUGUUGUUUUUGUUUUCCUAGAUUUGGAAGCAUUUAUCAACUUAAGGAAACUAGAUAUGAGCUAUAAUGAAUUGAAAGAUUUGGUGAUCCACCAAGGUAUCAUUUAAUUAAACUUCCUUUUUUUUUUAAUUUAGAAAUUUAGUUUUGAUCUCAUAUAUUAUAAUAACGGUUAUUGUCAUAAAUAUUAAUAAAGUUAUAUCAUAUCAUACUUGAAAGUAAAAUAUGGGUUUGGUGAAACAUUUUCUAAAUCAUCCAUUAUAAUGUGUUUGGACUUUGGUUUGAAACUAAAAUUCUUUAAAAUUUUCAUCAUUUUAAAAUAUUAAUGUUUAUAAUUAUUUUGUUUGUAUAAAUAUAUUUUUUAAAAUAAUUUAUUGAAUUUUCAUGAGAUAAAAAAUAAUUAUAACAAUAAAAAAUGAUAUUAUAAGUAAAAAUACAUAUAUUUAUGGGAAAAUAUGUAAUAUAACUAUAUUUUAAUUUCAUAUAUUUUUAAUAGUAUAAAACAUAAAAAUACAUAUUAGAGUUAAAUAAAUGGCAUUUUUUGGCCAAAAAUAAAUAAAUGUCAAUUUUGAAUAAUAUAAAAAAAACUUCAAUUUUAUGAAAUUUAAACAUACAUUUUGAGGUGCUUAAACUUUUUUUUUUUAAACUUUUUAUAAAUUUCAAAAUGCACAUGUUGUUAAUUUUUUGGUUUAAAAAAAUGUGAUAGGUCUAUGUACUCUUUACAAAUUUGUAAUUUAAUUCUUGUAUUUUUAUUUUCGGGAAUUUGAUCCCUCUAUUUUUUAAAUUUUAAAAUCCAAGUUCAAUUGUUAACAUUUUUAUUUUUUAAAAAAAUAAUUUAUUGGUGUUGACAUUUUAAAAUAAAAGAACUUGGUAGCGAUGUAACUAAAAGAUGACGUAAUGAACAUGGAUUUAAUAAAAUAAUUUCAACCGUAUAAAUAGUUAGACUUGAAUUUUGAAAAAAAAAAUUGUAAAGAGAAAAAUAUGCACAUUAGAUUUAAAUAAAAAUAAUAUUUUUUUUAGUUUAAAAUUUUCUAUUUUAUAAUAGAACCAUUGAUUUAAAUAAAUGAGAUUUUGAAGAAUUUCCAAAAAAAAAAAAAAACUAUGUAGGUGAAAUUUAAAUAGAGAAUUUGAUAAGCUGAAAUUCUCUUUCGGAAUUCAUAAAUUUUAAAAUUCAGAAGCAUGUAUUUUGACAAUUUUGAUUUAAUAUGGUGAAUAUUAAAUAUUAAAUAUUUUAAAUUUUAAAAUUCAUACUUGAAAGUAAAAUAUGGGUUUGGUGAAACAUUUUCUAAACCCUCCAUUAUAAUGUGUUUCGACUUUGGUUUGAAACUAAAAUUCUUUAAAUUUUUCAUAAUUUUUAAAUAUUAAUGUUUAUAAUUAUUUUGUUUGUAUAACUAUAUUUUUAAAAUAAUUUAUUGAAUUUUUAUGAGAUAAAAAAUAAUUAUAACAAUAAAAAAUGAUAUUAUAAGUAAAACUACAUAUAUUUAUGGGAAAAUAUGUAAUAUAACUAUAUUUUAAUUUCAUAUAUUUUUAAUAGUAUAAAACAUAAAAAUACAUAUUAGAGUUAAAUAAAUGGCAUUUUUUGGCAAAAAUAAAUAAAUGUCAAUUUUGAAUAAUUUAAAAAAAUCUUCAAUCUUUUUAUAAAUUUCAAAGUGCAUAUGUUUUUAUACUCUUUACUAAUUUGUAAUUUAAUUCUUAUACUUUUAUUUUCAAGAAUUUAGUCCCUCUUUUUUUAAAAAAAAAUUUCAAAAUCCUAGCUCAAUUGUUAAAAUUGUUAAAUUUUUAAAAUACUUUAAAAUAGUUUGUUGGUGUGACAUUUUGAAAUAAAAAAAAAACUUGGUAGCAAUGUAACUAAAAAAAUGACGUAAUGAACAUGGAUUUAAUACUUUAAGGGUAAUAUAAUAAUUUUAGUGUAGACAUGUUUUAUUUUAUAAAUAUUAUUUAUAGUGUAGACAUGUGAAUUUUGAAUAAUUUAAAAAUAUCUUCAAUUUUAUGAAAUUUAAACAUACAUUUAGUGUAGACAUGUUUUAUUUUAUAAAUAUUAUUUAUAGUGUUUUUGAUUGGAGUUUGAAAAUUAUACAACUUAGCUAUAUCAGUUAAUUACUUAUAUUAAAAAAUAAUAUAAGAAAAUACUAAAAAGAAAAAAAUAGUAUAAUUACUAAAAUGGUUGAAGAGUUAUAUUAAAGUUUCAACAUUUUCUCUCUAUCAAAAUUUAUCUCAGAUAAAUCAUGAAUAAUCUAACUCAUAAAAAAUAUAUAUAUAUUUAUCUCAAAUUGAUUUCUUUACUAGCUUUUGUAAUAUAAUAUCUCCUAUUCUAUUUAAUAGGACCAAAUUUAAUUAAAAUUUCUUCCAUGAAUUUAUAAAUUUUUCAGGAUGGUGUGAUCUAAAGAAGCUUGAAGUAUUGGAUGUGAGCAACAAUGCACUUGAGGGGAUGCUUCCUCGUUGUUUUAGUAACUUGACAUCUCUUCGUGUGUUAGAUGUUUCAAGAAACCAUUUUCAAAUUCCGCUGUCAUUUGCACCAUUUGCAAACCUUUCAAACCUCAAAGUCCUUUCGAUUAAUGAAAACAAGAUGGUAAUGGAAUCUUCCUUUUAUACCUCAAUCCCAAAGUUCCAAUUGGAAGUCAUCAGUCUGCCAAAGUGCAUAGCAUCUCAACAACUCAGUCGUAAAUUUCCUACCUUCCUUUACUACCAAUAUGACUUGAGAUAUGUGGAUCUUUCUCAUAACAAUCUCAGUGGAACUGUACCAACUUGGUUGCUAGAAAACAACACAAAGUUAGAAGAUCUCAUCUUGAAGGGUAAUUCAUUUACAGGUCCUCUCUCACUUUCGUCGGCUCUUAUUUCUGAUGUAUCUUCAAUUGACAUAUCUGAAAACAAAUUACAAGGUCAAAUUCCAACUGGUAUAUGUUCAACUUUUCCACAUUUGAGUCGGUUAUUCUUAUCCAAGAAUGCUUUUGAAGGUAAUAUCCCACUUUGUUUAAGUGGCAUGAAGGACUUAUCAUUUUUAGAUCUAUCAGACAAUCAUUUGUAUGGAAAAGUACCAGAAGAGUUGAUCACGAAAGGCUCACUGACCAUUUUGAGACUAUCAAAUAACAACCUCAGUGGAAAUGUAGUUCCUGUGAUUCUCAGCGCAAAUAGGGUGCAGCAUUUAUAUUUGGAUGGAAAUAAUUUUUCAGGAGAGAUGACAAAUGUUGAUGUGUCUACUUUUGAGUUUCCAAAUUCACUAAGCGAAAUUGAUCUCAGUAACAACAAGUUGCAUGGAAAGCUCCCAAGAUGGAUAGGGAAUGCAUCGUUUUUGCAGAGAUUAGCUAUGUCCAACAAUGGUUUUGAAGGUUCCAUUCCAAUGGAAUUUUGCAAGUUGAAUAGGUUGGAAUUUUUGGAUCUUUCUCAAAAUAAUUUAUCUGGCUCUAUACCGUCAUGUUUUAAUCCACCAUACAUAGAGCAUGUCCACCUCCACGGGAAUAGACUGAGAGGCCCACUAUCACUUGCUUUUUAUAAUAGCUCUUCAAUAGUGACUUUAGAUCUUAGAGGAAACAAUUUGACAGGUAGUAUUCCAAAAUGGAUUUACACGCUUUCUUCUUUGAGUGUUCUUCUCUUGAAAGAUAAUCAUUUUCAUGGUAAAGUUCCUGUUGAGUUAUGCAAGUUGCAUUCUUUAAGCAUCAUAGAUCUUUCUCAAAAUAUGUUUUCUGGUCCUAUACCUUCUUGUUUGGGAAAUUUAUCUCUUCCAAUGCAAAGGAAGAAGAUUCUAGAAAUUGGGUUCUAUAGGCCAUCUAUAGAAGAGCAUGAAACAACACUAAAUUUUGGAAUGGAUCUUUACUAUCCUGAUAGCUACUUAGAAGAAGUAAUAGAGUUCACAACAAAGAGUGGGCUCUUUUUGUACGAGGGCAACAUCCUUUCAUAUAUGACCGGGAUUGAUUUAUCUUGCAACAACUUAACUGGUCAUAUCCCAUCAGAAUUAGGGAACUUGAGUGAAAUCUAUUCUUUAAACCUUUCACAUAAUAAGUUGACCGGAGUUAUACCCUCGUCAUUUGCAAAACUUCAUCAAAUUGAGAGUUUGGACCUUUCUUACAACAACUUGAGUGGUGAAAUCCCCAAUCAGUUGGUAGAGUUGAACUCUUUGGAGAUUUUCAGUGUGGCAUACAACAACUUGUCAGGUAGUAUUCCCGAACCAAAAGCUCAAUUUGGGACCUUUAUUGAAAACAGUUAUGAAGGAAACCCUUUUCUUUGUGGACCUAUACUGCAUAAAAGUUGUUCCAAAACCGAUUCACCAUCAACAAUAUCAACUGUAUCAGAAGAUAAAGGAGAAGAUGGUUUGAUAGAUACUUAUGAUUUUUGUGUGAGCUUUUUGGUUUCUUAUGUAGUUGUGUUGUUGACAAUUUUUGUUGUCCUCUACAUAAAUCCAUACUGGCGAAGAGCUUGGUUUUCUCUUGUUGGGAAAUGCAUUACCACCUGUCGCUACUCAAAUGUGGGCAAUUUUCUUACUUAUCACAUUUUCAAGCGAUGUGUUUAGCUACUCAAAUUGUGAUUUGAUUUCCACACCUAAAUGUUUAAUUAUGCUAAGUUGAGCGAUAAUGAAUAUUUUGUUGAUUUUUGCAUUUUGAAUAAAAGCUCUUUUAUCUUGUGGUUUUAUCAUUUUCAACCAUCUAUUUCUUUUUUCUUCUAUGAAAUUUAAUAUAAAAUCAUAAUCCAUUAUUAUGUAUAUGCAAUAUCUCUUUAAAUUAAAUUAAAUUAACUGCCUAGCGUUCACUAGUGCAUAGUAAAAAGGAAAUCUAAUGUAAAAUUAAAUCAAACAUACUACAGAAUUGAAUCUAAAACUGGAAUAUUUUAAAACCUCACAAACAAUGCAAUUCUUUAUUCCUCUUUUCCUCUCAAGUUAUUUUGUAUCAUGUUAUAUUUUACAUAAUUAUUCGUAUCAUCAAAUUUUAAAAAAAAUUUAAUAUUUUGAUAUCAUGUUCAUAUUAUGCUUUAAUUCACAAUGUAUUUUGUAUAAUAUGUUAUAACAAUUCAAUUUAAAAAACAAGCAAUUAUCUUAUUUUUGCAUACCGUAAUAUACAUUUACAUGUUAAUAAUUCUUUGUACAUAAAUUUUGACAUGUUCGUAUAUUCGAGUCAUUAUAAUUUUAUUAUUUGUAAUAUGACAUGUUUUACUUACCCUUAAUAUUGUGUCAUGAUAAUUAUAACUCGAUUGGCAGUGUACCAAAUAUUUUUCUAAUAAAAAAUAGUAUUUUAUUCUAUUUACCAAAUCCUUAUCAACUUUAUUUUCUCACCAACAAAACAUACAUUCAAAGUUCAAAUAAGUUCCACACCCAUUUUUUUACUGCAAUACUCAAGAAUAUGCUCAUCAUCAGAAAUCUGAAAUAUUCCACUCUAAUUAACAUUAUGAUUCUGUAAACAACAAAAAAGUGUGAUACUUUUUUAAAGCUCUUUUUUUUUCUUUAAUGAAAUGGGAUUGGUAAAAAAUCCGCACAUGUGUCGUGUGUGAAGGUGGUCAGGUUGUCUAUUCAUACUGUAAUAAGUAGCUAAUUAUAGUUGAUCCUACAAAAUCAAAUUUAAUUCAGGUAUCUAUAUAUUCUGAAGACUGGACAGACCUUAGAAGCUCCUUCAAAUUUGCUAGAACAUGCCGUGGUCCUAAACUCUUUACACCGAUGAAAUUCAAAAGUUGCUCUAUAUCCUGCAAUCACAGUAAAGAUUAUGCAAGCUUUUCAGAACGAAUAACAUAACAAGCAAAAGGCAAUCAAAAUACUGUGAUCUCGAUAAUGUUCUUUGCCGAAAAGGAACAUAAACAUAACCUGAAAACAUCAGUGAAGGCUCAUCAGAUUUGCUUAGCAACCUUACAUACACAUGUAAAAAGCUUUGCUUUUGGAUGUAAGGUGUGACUAUCAUCACAGUCUUUCCUAAUUAGCUGAUAACCCUAUAUCUAACAUUUAUCAGGGCUAAGCAAAUUAACAUACAUAAUGUAAAGGAAUUUGACCAUAAGAUCCAACAGAAAACUUAAUAAAAGAUAAUCAACAUAGAAAGUUAAAAGGCAAUGCAAACUUAUUACAAUGAUGCAAGUGGAUCAAAAGAAAGCACUCUAUAAGGAAUUUGCAUUUAAGGCAUUGUAAACAGAAAAAAAAAUAAUAAAACUUUUUGGAAAGUAUUUUCAAAGAGGAGACAAAAACAGGGUAGAAAAAAUGUUUGGUCCUUCCUUUUUCUAUUUCUACUGUGGUGAAAAAGCCUUUUUGGGUUAAAAGUGUUUUUACACUGCAGAAGUGUUUUUCCACUGCAGAAGUGAUGAAGAACACAUAGCUUUGUAGUCAAAAACCUACUGCUUUUGGCUUUUGCAUUUCGAAGUGAAAAUUAUAAAAAUACUCUUAGAUUAAUUUAUAUUUUAUAUAUUAUUAUAUUAAAUUGUUAAAUCUUAUUUAUUAUUAUAUUUAAUUUUUUUCAAAAUAUUUUAUACAUCAUCAAUUUUACAAAUAAUUUAUAUUAAUUACUUUUAAAAGUUAUAUUUCAUGUAUCAUUAUAUUAAAUUAUUUAAAUAUCAUAUAACAUCACUAAUUUUCUACUUUCUACCAUCAUGUCUAAAAUAGACAUUUUAACUUUCAACCGCAAUUUUUGGCAGCAAUGAACAACACUAAAAACUAACAAACACACUUUUCCGCACCACAUUUCAAAAACACUUUUUUCUAAACGCACUUUUGAACUAGUCCUUAGUCUAUCAUGCAUCAACUCUUCAUUUUUCUUUAACUACCCAUGUCCGACUUCGAACAUGGAUAUGGAGAUAUGACCAAGUCACAGUGACAUAGUUUUUAGUUAUGGGGAAUGGGAUUCGAGUGCUGGACCUCCUUCUAGAUGCAUGGUGGGACUUCAUCACAUUUUUCAAAUUUGUUGAUAAUCCUUCACCUAAUCUGCCGGUGAAGUUUAUAGAUAGUCUUAAGUGUCUAUCACAAGAACCUAGAUAUUGUAAAUCAAAUAUCUUCCAAACAAUUCAACCAUGAUAUUAAUGAUGAUGGAAGCAAGAUUAUCCACUAUCAAUGACAUAAAAUGAGCUGUAAAUGCUGACGAACAAACAUGCACUGUUUUUCCAACCUGUGGAUUGAAGAGCAUUGACAAGCUAACUUUGCAGACCAUUUGAAUCCAAUACUAUACAUAAAAAUGCCAAAGGAGAAUAAUUCAUCUUGGAAAAAGAAUUACUAAUAUGCAAAAGCUUACCUUGUUUAACAAGAACACAGCAUAUGCUGCUCUUGUCGUGUCUUGACCUUCUAAAAACAGCGGAAAUUCUGCCAGCUUUACAUUUGCUGAAAGUGUUGUAUCCAAUGACAAAUCAGAAGAUGCAGGGUCUAUUGAAGACGCAUGGUCAUUAAUAUAUGAGCGAGAACCACCCAAGCGCAGAGGAUAACGCAAGGGAACUUGUAAAUAGGAUGCAAUUAGUGAAACAGCCUGCAAAUGAUGAAAUAACAGGAAACAAGAAACAAUAAUAGGUAUGAUUAAAAUUAUAGCCUCAGCAUGAGAAACAAGCAAUCAAGAUGCAGCCCACUAUACCAUAUUACCAUCCUAGCAAUUAAAAAUUACUACAGCAUCUUCAAGCAACAAGGGAUUGUAGGUGGUAGGUCAAAAAACUUGAUAUCCACAGCUUGAUAUUAUCAGAAAAAACAAAUUCAGUAAUAAAUGAUAACUUCACAGAAGAAAUAGAACGCACAUGUGCAACAUAUCCCAAGGCAGUUGCAGAUCUCUGAACCUCCUUUUUGUCAGUGAAAAAACUCAUCUUUGUAAAAGGAAGCAAGGUGAGAUUCAGACCUAAAAUUGUCAACGAUCCUUGAUUGACGGGCUUUGAUGCAGAAGGAUUCCCUAGUGAAGAUAGGAACAAAGGAACUUCAUAUCAAUACAUCACCAGACACCACCUCUUUGUGAAAGUCAAAACAAAAUUCAAAAAAAUAUAAUCAUGAAAGUAAGAGAUAUGUAAAAAGUUCAUAAUAUUCAAGAGCAAAAAAAAAUUGUUUUGAUAUGAGGAGAAUUGAAUAGUAGAUUGCUAAAAGAGGAAUAACUGAAUACAACCAUCAUAACCAAAAGAAGAGUCAAGUGAUAGGUAAUGGUACUCCCUAAGCUGUUUAGGAAUCAUAAAAGACUUGUCCAGUUGACAAAAAUAACUCAUUUUAUUCAUAUUGGACCAACCAUAUUUGAUAUCAAAGGAUAUGGAUAUCCAGGCAUGCCAUUUAUAGAUAUUCCCAGUGUUGCAAGAAGGAAUUGUUCAAGAGAAAGAAGCUGCUAUUGUUGGUAAAGUUUUCCUCAAACCAUUUUGAACAUCCAAAAUCUCAAGAACAAAAAAGAAAACGUAGGAGGAAAUAUAACAAGCAUCACAACGGGUUCUCGAUGAUAUAAGUGAGAGGAUAAAUGUUAAUUAAGAUUAUAAAAAUAAACCACAAACUAAACAGGAAAGACAUGGAUUUCAAAACGAGGAGACUGGCUGCUAAUUAAAACCAUAUGCGGUGUUGUCUAGGGAGCAAGGCGCAUUCUAGGUGCUAACCUUUAUAUUGCCUCAAGCACAAGGCACAAAAGGAAGCGCUAGCCUGAGUGCAGUAAAGCGCAAUACGUAUAUGUGAGAGUUUUUGCAAGUCUGUGUGUCUACAACAUAAAAGUUUUAAGAUAUAUAGUAAACUCUAAAGUGUGGUCUGGUUUAUCCACAAAACUUGCAAAAUUUUUAUAGGUGAAUGCUCAAAUAUUGAGAAUUAUAGAGUUUGAUAUUAUCCCUUUCUUAUUAGUAAAGGUGUAUCAAAUGAAAACAGUAAAAAAUAAAAUAAAAUAUUGAGAAAUUCAACAAGGCAGGCUUUUUCUAAUGCCCAUUGCCUUACAAAAAAAGUGUGCCUAGGUGCACCAGGCAUACGCUUGAUCAAAUGGACCUCACCUGGAAGGGUCCAAGGCGUUUGGUUGUAUAAAACUAAGGCGUAGGCAUGCCUAGGCGCAUGCCUUGACGACACUGACCAUAUGUUGGCUUUAUUGCAAAGCAUUAGCAAUCCAAAACUACUAGCACAUUACCUAAUCUACUACUGCUAGAAUAGGACUCAAGUUCUUGCUCCUGUGCAGGUCCAACCAAGAUCUUUACAGGAUACAAUAAUGAAACUUGUGAUAUCAUAUAUUGUUGCCUUGCUCGAAGCUUCCUUUGCACAUUUUUAAGUUUAACACAACCCCUUUCUUCAGUGAGUAAUCUAUUUGCUUCCUGUGAUAAAAACAACAUAUAAUCAAUCAUGCCACGCAUGCAAGACUACCAACCAACUAUCUAACAAAAGAUACAAAGAAGUAGGAGAGCAAGAAGGGGAUAACCCUUGACUAUGCAAAGGAAUUCAUAGAAUGAGAAUCAUCUCAUCUAAGCCCCUCAACCACCUUCACAGGGGGUGGAGGUGCAAAGAGAGAGGUCUUAUUGAUCCGAGAGGAGAAUAUAUAACAUCUAAAGCUGAAUAAGAAGAAACCUUCAAAUAUAUCAUAAAUUCAGAAUUCAUGAUAAUAUAAAAAUGAAAUUCCAAAGCUAAUUUAAGCUAGAAUAAAAAUGCUUCACCUGUAAUCACUUCCUUGCUACAGAAAGAGAGGUACCAGCAACCAACAAUGAUCUUACUUCAGUACUAAGCAUUUCCUCCUGUUUUUUGGCAUCCUCUGUUGCAACUUUGCAAUGAGUUGACAUGUUUGCCAUAAAUACUUUCCUUGCCUCGAGUCUCUCACGCAUUUCCUCAAGCUCGUUCAGUUUAUUCAAAGACUCAUUUUUUACCAGCACAGCAUGUUCCCACCCAUUAAUCAGUGGGCCAAUUAAUUAGGUCACAGAAGACAAAACUAAAUUAUCACUCACCAGGUCCCCUUGAAGUGUCAUAUGGCUUUAACAAUUCAACGUGCAAUAUCUAGUAAAAGUAAAAUAAACAUAGAAGAAUGCAAAUGCAAUUCUUAAACGCCUUUAAAUGGACAACAUGAAACACUUUAAGAGCCCUAUAAAACAGAAAAGUGGAAAAAAAAUCUGAAAAGGAAAAAAAAAUGAAUUGAAACAAUAAAUCCAUCUGGUACAAACAGCAACAAAUCUCAAAAUAAGCUUUGGCUUUAGCCCAUUAAAGCCCGGGCAUCCGGCCAAAUAAACAGUGACUGCCAUGUCAACUUUUUGAGACGGUAGAAAAGAGCUCAAAAAUCUCAAUUUCCAAAAAUAAGGACAUAAGAAGGAAAACAAUUUACUUAUUCUUACAGUAGAAGAGCAAAAUGAAACUAAAUGAAGGAUAAGGGAACUGAUGCGAAUUGACAUUGUUAUUUUUGGGACUAAAAAGAAUACGCAGAUUGAAUAUUUAAGAUUUUGUAAGUGAAAAGUUCCAUUCACCGACACAAUUAUCAUCGCCCUUUAUCCCAGUAAAGCUUAAUUGACAAUUUUUCUGUCUCGUGUUCUUGCUAAAGCAUUUGAGCAACCCAACAGAAAUCAUUAUAUUUCAAACUGAAAUGAUUGGCUUUAACAAUUUCACAACCUAUACCGCCCAACCUAGUAAGUAAUUUAGGUGCAGACACCAGAAAUCUAUUUUCUUUGCACUCUACAACUAAAUAGCAUACCACUUAUCAAUCAAACACAGCUGAAAACUUCAGUGAGGGAACAUUAUGUAAAAUGAAAAAACUAUAACUUCAACUUGAUUCAUAGCUCGGCAAGUUCAGGGAAUUGGGACUUCUACCACGAUGAUCCAGUUCAAUGUGAAACAGUGAUCCAUAUAAUGCAUAUCGGUUCCCGGAACAAGAGGUAAAACCAGCAAAUUAGGUAAACAAUGAUCCUACUAUAUUUCAGAAUAGCAACAUUGAGCAUGAAAGCUAAAAUUAUAGCAUAUUAUGGGUCCUUGCUCUCUACAACUACAUAUAAAAUUACUAAACAAUAUUACUACAUUAAGGAUCCAGAAAAACUUUGUUUCAAUUGUUGAUCACUUGAUCCAACUAUUUUAGAAAGUUUAUUCUUCUUUUUCCUUUCCCUUAUUUUCUAAAUCAGGAAAAACAGUAGCAUAUAAAUUGGAUUACUACUCCAAGUUUCUGAAAUUUCAACAAUAUCCCUUUUACCUUUUCACUCAAGUCAUUACCCCCCAAUUAACAAAUAUAUUCCCAGUUUCCCUUUCCCUUCAAACACCCCUUUUUUUUUCCUCUACCCAAAUUCAGCUUAUGUUCAAAAACCCAAAAUUGGUUUGCUAAAAUAACAUAAUUUUCAAACACAAAGAUAACCUAAUUUUAAUCAGAAAAAAAAAGCAUUACCUGAAUUAGUGACUGGAGUUUCUCUUGAAGACUUUGUUUCUUCUCAUUAGCUUCCUUAAGGGCAGAAGUUAAACUCCACAAUCUAGCUAGCUCGUUGUCGAAAUCUUCCCAUUCAAUUAGUUGCACAUUUUCAUGUGCAGCAUUGAUUUUCUUCGGGUCGGUAAUUAGGGUUUUGUCUCGGGCUUGUUCUCGAUUUUCCAUGAAAUAAUUGAAGAGGAAAGCUUUCGAUUCUGUAAGUUUAAAAAGGGAUCAUAGAUCGACCUCAUGGUACUGGAUCUCGCCCGGUUAGAGUGUUCUUUUUCACGCCGAUCGAAUCAUUUUCUCGGGAAACUUUGCUAGCUAGGGGUAAUUUUCUCGGGAAAAUGGAGGGAAAAACAGUUUCGGGAGUUUUUAUUUGGGGGAGUCUAAGGUAUAACGGAGAAUGACAGGUGGCGGUUAACGGAGGAAUCUCACGAUUCAUGUCAUUUUCACUUUUCCGAUUUAGAAAUUGCUUAAAUACUUUUAAAAAUAGAUAAUAAGAUAAACUUUCUUUUUGAAUAAGAUAAACUUUCAUUGAAAAUAAAUAAAUAAAGCUAAUAGAAUUUUACACAUUUAUCUUGUGUUUUAAAUUUAAUAAAUUAAAAAAUAUUUGAUGAUUUUUAAGUUGGUAAUUUUUUUUUAUAAAAAUUUGGUAACUUCUUUGAAAGUUGAUAUAAAAUGUAUCACGACCCGACUUGAGAUUUAAUUUGUCCUCGUCAGAAGUCCGACCCAAACAAGGGAAUAUGACUUGCCACUCACCAAUUUUUUAACCUUCCAACUUGCCAGCUUUAUGGAGUAACUCGGCACCUUGCGACACUACCUCACAUACCGUGAGAUUUCAGUACAAAUAUCUCUAAGGGUAUGUAUCAAGCUUAAGAGAAAUAACAUAUUAUUAUACAUAUUAUUUAGUUACCCCUAACAUGUCACGUCAAAAAAUCAUACUAUAAAAAAUAGUCCUCACAAGAGAGGAUAGAAAAAAAAAAAGUCAUCAACAAAAGUAAUUAAGUAACCUUUUUAUAAAACAAAAAGAUUUAUUUUAUUUUGAAGUAAAUUAAUUCUCUAACUUAUAUAAGAAAUUAAGUAAAAUCUUUUUAAAUAAUAAGACAUAAUUUCUCGAAAAAAAAUAAUCAAAUGAGAGCUAAUCAAAAUAAUUUAUUUUUUUAGGCCAAACAAUUUUACUUCAACUAUUUAUAAACACUUUUUAAUCAAUUUUCUUUUAACUCCCAUUAUAAAUUUUAUAAAAAGGAUAAUAUAUUAAAAAUACCCUUAAAUUAUUAGAUUUUGUAUAAAUAAACUCUUAUUUUUUUUAGUUAAAUAAACUCCUAAAUUAUUAAUUUUAGUCAUGAAAAUGUUGAUAUAAAAGUAUGAGAAUAAUUUAUUAAAUAAAAAAUUAAUUAUUUAAAAAUAUUUAAAAUAUUUAUAUACAUAAUAAACUUAAUUAAAUUCUCUAGAAAAAAAAUUUAUAUUCUUUUAAAUUUUAUGUUGAUAUAUUAUUUCUAUUUGUCUAAUAAAGUGCAUAACGAGGCAAUAACUAUUUUUAUGUAUAAAUUAAACAAUACUACAACUUCCGAAGUUAAUAAGAUUAUAUCUAUACUCACCAUCACAAUUAGAGACAGGGGUGAGUAUUCGAUCGAAUUAAGUUAAAAAAUUUUGAAUUAGUCGAGUUAACAAAUCUUAUUUUAGCAAUCGAAAUCAAUUUAAUUUUUUUUAAAUCAAAUCGAAUCGAGUCAAAAAAUUUCAAGUCGAAUUAACGAAUCCUAUUAUUUAUACUCAAUAUUGCGUUUAUAUGGGCUGAUUAUUUAACUGGUAGACGAAGUACAAGAUUAUUUAACUAUAUAAACAAUAUAAUGGUUUUGCAUUGUAACUUAAUAGGUAAACAAUAUUUUUAUCAUAUAUUAGUCAAAGUUGAUUGCAUCAACAAUAAGUUAAGAUAAAAACCUCAAAUUUUUAAAUAUUUUUACCUCAAUAUAAAAUUUAAGAGCUUUCAUGUAUAAAAACUAAAGGUUAGAGCUUUCAUGUUUAAGGGCUUAUUUAUACUUCAUCUUUAUAAAAAAAACACUUAAAUAAAAGUUUAAAUUAUAUAGUUAAUCACUCAAUUUUAGUAAAUUUUCAUUUUAGUCACUCGUUGUUAAUUUGGCUAAUGUAAAUAUUACAUUACACUCAUUUUAGUCACCUAAUUUUUAUAAGAUAGAAUUAAUUUUAUUUUUCGGUAAAAAAAAAAAAAAAACUCAAAAUUUUACAAGCAAGUACCUAGGUUUUUAUAGAAAAAACUUGGAGUUUUAUAUGAAAAACCUACGUUUUUAUUGGAAUAGUCAUAUUAUCUUUUUUUAUUUCAUUUAUAAAAUUAAUUUUAGCUUUUUCAAUGAAAAGAAAACCUAAUUUUUUACAAGAAAAUCAUUUUAUCUUUUUAAUUUCUUUUACUUUCAUAUUUAGAAUUAAUUUUAAUUUUUUUUCCAAUAACAAUGAAAAAAAACUUGGAUUUUUACAAUGAGUUUGUUGGGUUUCCACGGAGAAUUGCUAGAGUUUUAUGAAUAACUCAAUUCCUUAAAAAAUUCUAAAAAAAUUAGAAAAAUAAGAUUAAUUAAAAAAAUGGAGCAAAAUGAAAAUUUACUAAAAGUAGAUGGCUAAAAUGAAUAUACAAUUGCAUUUUCGUUAGCCAAAUUAACAUGUGAUCAAAAUGAAAUAUUAUUAAAAUGAAAAAACUAUUUAAAGAAAGUGAUUUAUUUACACCCUGAUUUUAUGAGCAAAUUCCCCAGCACAAAGCCUAUUUUGACAAUAACAGUUCAAAUGAAAAGUCUUCGCUUACUCUUUGAACGAAACUCUUCUCCCGCUAAAACCACCUCUUCUUCCUCCAAAUUCAAACGCCCAAAGCUUUCUUCCAUCUCUAAUGGGUUUUAUGGACAAGCUAUCCGAUGCUUCAAAAAGAUGAUGUUUUCAGGUGUGGACUUAGUAGUUUUCAUUGAGCUCAACCCUUUAUUCUAAUCUUUCUGAAUAAACUCAAGUUUGUCGUAUUUGCAGGAAUAAAACCCGAUGCGGUGGUCUUUCUUGCCCUCCUGACUGCAUGCUCACAUUCUGGACAAGUAGAUCUUGGGCUUAACUUCUUUGACAGCAUGAGGUUUGAUUACUCCAUUGAGCCAACCAUGAAGCAUUAUACGUUGGUCGUUGAUUUGUUAGGCAGGGCAGGCCGACUGGAUGAAGCAAUGAAGUUCAUACAAAGGAUGCCUAUAAGUCCUGAUUUUGUGGCAUGGGGAGCACUUUUUUGUGCUUGCAGAGCUCACAAAAAUAUUAAAAUGGCAGAACUAGUGUCAGAAAAGCUCCUUCAGCUUGAACCUAAACAUCCUGGGAGCUAUGUUUUCUUGUCAAAUGUUUAUGCAGCAGUUGGUAGAUGGGAAGAUGUGGAGAGGGUAAGAAUGUUGAUGCAGAAUCAAGCUGUUGGCAAAGAUCCGGGGUGGAGUUAUAUUGAAGUCAAUGGACAAGUGCAUAGUUUUGUAGCUGGUGAUCAUGAUCAUAAGCGUGCAAGAGAAAUAUACUUGAAAUUAGAGGAAAUAGUGUCUGGUGCAAGAGAGCAAGGAUAUAUGCCUGAAACUGGGUGGGUUCUUCAUAAUAUUGAGGAAGAAGAGAAGGAAGAUGCAUUAGGAAGUCACAGUGAGAAAUUGGCGCUUGCCUUUGCCUUAAUGAACACUCCUCCGGGGACAACUAUCAGGAUAGUGAAGAACUUAAGAGUAUGUGGAGAUUGCCAUUCUUUGAUGAAAUGUGCUAGUAAGAUGAGCCAAAGAGAAAUCAUAUUGAGAGAUAUAAAGAGAUUCCACCAUUUCAAGUAUGGGGUCUGCUCAUGUGGAGAUUAUUGGUAAAAUGGUAAGUAACAGCAACAUUAAUUUGCUUUGCUGUUAAUAGCACAUGAUUAGUGCUUCUACUUGGUUUAUUUAGAAUAAUGCUUUUAGUUAAAACAUGGAUGUAGCUACAGCAACACAAGUUUUUUUGUUUGAUAAUUGGUAGCAAGUACAUUAAAUUUCUCCAAUGGACCUUUCUGCACAUAUAUAUUAAACUUGAAACUCAUUAGUUAAGUUUGUACUUUAUUUAGGUAUCUAAUUAACGUUGUUAGAUUUUUUCAAUUUCAACUUAUCAUCUUGUGCCACUUCUUUCUCUUCCCUUUAGUGAAAUUUAGCACUUUAAAAGAUGGGUUGCAUUUUGCUCCCUCUGUCAAAAAAAAUGGACAGAUUAAGCUAUACACGUUAGAUCAAAGAGCAAAUAGGUCUUUUUGUUUAAAAAUCCAUCAAUUUUUGUUGUUAAAAAUCAAUCCAUUUACAUCAACAUAAAAUAUAUAACUGUUUGGGUAUCUCAUCAUCCAUGUUAGUUUUUAGCAAUACAAAUGGAUAGAAUUUUUAACAAAAAAAACCAGUUUAUUGUUUGAUCUAACAUACAAUGACUAAUUUGUCAAUUUUUUAAGUAAAUAAAGCAUAAUGCUAAUUGACUCUUAGUAUAAUAUCUCUAUGGUACUUUUAUCAAUACUAUCUCUAUUUAUGAAAUUAAAAAUACUUAAAUAAUUAGAUUUAUUGUUAUGUGUAUGUAAUAGCUAUUUGAAUUAAAUUAAAUUGACAAAUCAACGUACACUAGUGCAUACUAAAAAAAAUGUAAUAUAAAAUUAAACCAAAAUUGAAUCUCCUCAAACAUAUGGCAACUCUUCACUCCUCUUUCCCUCUGAAGUUAUUUUAAUUUAAAAUAUAUUUUGUAUAAUGUGUUAUAACAAUUCAACUAAACAAAGUGAUUCUCUUUGCAUAACAUAUUAUAUGCUUAUAUAAACUUUUACAUAAUUUGUUAUAGAUACAUUUUUAAUAAUUGAAUGAUGACUCCAUUAAAAAUGCAAUAUCAUAAUAAUUCUACAUUUCUUGCAUUAAUAUAAAAUUUUCCUUUUUUUUUCCUCCAAGCCUUGUUUAUUAUCUUGCCAACUUUCAGGCUAGCUAUCGCCCGCCUUUUUUUCCCUCCCAUCAAUCCUUUUUUUCUUUUUUCUUCUCAUUCACUCCACAUGUCUUCUUUCUUUUCAGUUUGUAAAUCUAUUUUAUGAGUAUCUUUAUUUUCUUCACAAGUUGUGAUAGACAGAUGACGACGCCUAUGUUCGUUAAAACUUCAUCGGCCACCAAUAAUUUUUCAGAAUAAUAAAUAAUUUCAUGAGCCGAUUUGGACCCUUGUUAUCAUAAGUUUUAUAUAUUUUUUAGUUUGUUUUUUCAUUGUUUAAUAGGUUUUUAGUUUUAGAAGUUUUUGUCUACUCUUGUAACACGUUUUUUAGUCUUGCUUAUGCAUGUAACCUUAGUUUUACAAGUGAUUUUAGAGAUGGUUUUGUUACCGUCUUCUCUAGUUUGGUGAAUGCUCAAUUCUUUUGUCCAUUUUUGCUCGUCACUUCCAUUCGGGGCUGAUUUUCCUUAUCGCAUUAAGUGCUUGCGAUCACUCCAAAUAUAUCGUGCUUAAGUUGUGAUAAAGCUUGUACAAGCCCAAUUUUUAUGCCCGGGCCCAAUUGACCCAACAAAACCGAACGGCCCAACAGACUAAGGCCCAAACCCAACAAAGACUAGGGUUUCAGAACCCUAGCCCCUCCAUCAGCGCCGCAUGCUAGGGUCUCUGACUUCUGCCCCGUCGGCGCAAACGGCGCACCUACCCCGUCCGUGUCACGUCUCCUCCAUCGCCCUACACCUGCAAACAAUAAAGAGAAGCAGACAACACAAAACAGGGGAAAGAUUGAAUCUUUUUUUUUUGUUCUUUCGGCUAUAAAGCCGAACGUAUCAAAUAAGAAAAAGGGGGGAUUUUUUGUAAAAAAAGAAAACCACAUCAGAAAUAAGAAAAGGAACAAAGGUUGCUGUGUUCUUCAUUUUAUUCUUUUUUGAUUCGUUUACUUUCAUUUAUUUUCAAACAAAUCCGUUAAAAAAUAUAUCAAUAAAAAGGAAAAGAAAAAAAGGAGCGCACCUGAAUCGCUCUCUGGCUCCGUCGACGGAGGUUCUCUCGCCGUCGUCGGCCCGGAUCUGAAGGAGGGAUUCUGAGCCCUUGUCUCGGCGCUCGUAGGGGUUCAAGGACCCGAUUUUCAAAUCGCCAGAAGGCCAGGCUUUUUAAAAACCCUUUGUUGCGCUUCGUUGGCCGCCGUUUCGGUGGCGGUGCGACGGACAGACGGACGGUGGUGAAAAGCCAAUCGUCGGAGGGCAUGAAGAGAGAGUGGGGGAAAGUGUUCUGAAUUUUUUUUUUUUAAAAGAGUUUUUUAGGGGUUUUGAUUUAUAUAAGGAUCCAAAACGGCGCCGUUUUGGAAGGGUCAGAAAGCCCCUAAAACGACGCCGUUUUUGCAUAAGACCCGAGACCCAACCCGUCUGACGGAAGGGAUAAUUCGCGUUUAGCCCUUCUGCUUUUUAAUUAUUUUAAAAUUAGGUUCUUUUAAUCUUUUGAAAUUUACCCGAAAAUUUUUUUCGUUUUCAAUUUGAUCCUUACCCAAACUACGUCGUUUUAAAGGAAGGGCCAUUUGCUUGGCUGGUCCCUCCAUGUUUUAUGGUUGUUCAGAGCAGUCCUUCCCUUUUCGUUUAUUUGCGUUUUGAACCCCCCGAAUUUUGUUUUAAUGUUUAAUCUAAUCCUUCUGCUAUUUUGUUUAUUUUCUUAAGAAAUUUAUUAUUAUUAUUAUUAUUAUUAUUAUUAUUACCAUCGAAUUUUAGAUUUAAUCAUAUAUAUAAAUAUACGUCCAUGAUAUAUACCUACUUUUUAUAUAUACUUUAUAAUUUAUAUAUACAUAUACACAUUUUAAUUUAUGUACAUAUCUACACAUAUUUUUCAUACUUUACUCAUAUAUAUAUACAUGUACUUAUACAUAUUCUUUAUAUCUUAAAAUCCAUAUUUUUCUUAUGUAUAUAUUUUAUAUUUUAUAUAUAUGUGUUUAUAUAUUCUACAAUAUAUAUUUAUAUGCAUAAUAAAUACAUAUCUAUAUACGUUUCGAUUUUUAUAAACACAUAUAUAUAUGUAUGCAUACCUUUAUAUUUCUUAUAUUAAAUACAUAUAUAUAUUUAUAUAUCCCUUUAUACUUCUAAAAUACAUAUAUUUUGUAUAUAUUCUUUAUAUUUUAUGAUUCCUAUAUGUACCCACAUAUAUACUUUUUGUAUUGUAUGAUUGUUAUUUACGUAUAUAUGUACGUACAUAUAUACUUACACCUAUUUUCAUGUAUAAUAGCCUUAUAAUAUGUGUACAUACAUGUAUUUUUCAUAUUUCCAUAUACAUACACAUAUAUCUUUUUAUUUUAUAUAAUCUUACUCAUUUUAUUUAUUUAUUUAUUUAUUUACAUGUCUAUUAUUAUUAUGCUCUAGUUUUUAUUUAUUUAUUUAUUAUUUGUUAUUGUGCUUGCUUGAUCCUUUUAUAUAUUAAUCUUAUUAUUUAUUUUUAUUUUGAUCAUGUCAUUUUACUUACAUUAUCAUCAUCAUUCCAUUACACUCAUUUUUUUGUUUAGAUUUCAAAAAAAAAGAAGAAAUUUUAAAAAUAAGUAACACUCGGUAUUUUGGAUCUUCGAGAGAAUCGAGUCCUAACGUAUUGGGUUCCGAUUUUCUUCGUUGAAUUUAAAUAAUCGAGAUUACUCUUUUAAAAAUGAUAAAAAAGCUCGUUAUCGAGAAUUCAAUACGUUGUGUCCCAAUGGAUUGGACGUAACACGGUGUUUUCUCGAGACGAGGAUUUUUCGAAAUAAACGUAAUAUUCAAUGUUUAAUCUUUUGAGAAAUUGUGCCCUAACGUAUUGGGUUGUGAUUUCUUCAUUUGAUUUAAACAAUUGAAUAUCCUUUUAAACUUUAUUACAUGGAUCUUUUCAAACUCAAGUUUUAAACAACCUCGGGAAUUAAAAGAGGAUCGUGUCUUAACUUACUGGUCGUAAUCCCUUUUUUAAUUCGAGAUCGUUAAAUAUCUUUUAAAUAAGCUUUUUUCAUUCGUGUAUUGGGAAUUCGACAUAUUGUGUCUUAACUUGCUAGAUAUGAUAUUCUGUCUCGAAUAACGUGAAAUAUGCCCCUUUUCCUGAAAAAUUUCAACGUUUUAAUACAAGGAUCGUAUUUUUAAAAUUCUUCUAAGUUCUCAAUUUUCGACACUAAGACAUUAACUAAUCAACUAGGUACCAAUUUUGGGCGUAUCGAGGGUGCUAAUCCUUCCUCGUGCGUAACCGACUCCCGAACCCGUUUUUCUGAAUUUCGUAGACCAGACUUGUUGUUUUAAUAAAAUUAAAUUGUUUAUUAAAAACAACCACUUUUCGAGGUGAUCCAAUCACCCCUCAUAAAAAAGGAUUGGUGGCGACUCCCGUUUUUUUAUUUUCGUCAAAACCCAAGUCGACCCCGUUUUUUAUCCAAAAAAAUGGUGUCAACAAAGCCAAUUGUCAACAUGUCAUGACGUUCUAUUUAUGCUAAGGCUAAAGCCUUCGUUGGGUUGUUGGAGCUUGUCAUUUACCAUCUACGACGAGUGCUUAUUUUUUUCCCUGAAUUGUAUGAUUCCAUUCAUUGAAUGAAUUAACGAAUUUACCUUUCAAAAGAAAAAAAAAUUCAUAAAUUUUGAAAUACAAAAUGAAUGUGUUUUGAUAUUUUUAGGGCAAUGGUUUAGUGGUUUAAAUUUUUUUAUUUAAUAUGGUGAAUUUAAUUAUAAUUUUUUAUUUAUUAGAUAGUAGAAUAUCUCUUACCAUUUAUAAGUAAGUACAAUUAAGUUUAGGUUAAAAUAUUUUAUUAAAUUUUUGGACUUUUCACAAAUUUUAAAUUUAAUCUGUUUACUUUUAUUCAAGAAUUUAAUCUCUCUGCAUAUAAAGGAGGUAAUUAUGGCAAGGGGAAUUACCAUGGCAGAGGUAGCGGAGGCUGAGGAAGAGAUGCUGGAUAUGCUGAAGAAAGAUAGAUGGCUGAGAAACAGAAAAACUUUAGGAACAAAAUUCAGUGUUAGAAGUAUGGGGAUGUGAAGGCAGAUUGUUGGAAAAGGGGAAAACAAGCAAAUUAUGCGGAAGAUGAUGAAGAGAUUUAAGUUAUUUAUGAGCUGUCUAGAUGACACCAUAGCUUCAACUAACAUUUGGCUUCAAGGGCGUAUAUCUCAUGAUGAAGAGAUUGUCUCUCUUCUUUUUUCUCAUAACAUAUUAUACGCCAUGAUAAUAAAUUUUGAUAUGCCUAUAAAUUUGAGUCUCUAUUAUUUGUAAUAUGACAUGUUUUAAUUAUUUUUUAUAUUAUGCCAUGAUUUGGUUCACUCCAUAAGUUAUAUAAAUUUAUUAUAAUAAUUCAAUUAAUUUAAUUUAGAUUAAUUUUACAUUUUUGUCCUAACUUUAGUUUUUAAUAAUUGAAUCAUCCCACCAUUAUAUUCAAUUACAAGUGUAAUACGAUUUUGCGUCAUCCCGCACCAUUAUUCUCAGUGUAAUUUUUGGUAGUGAGCAUUGAAGGGGAGAGAGAGAGAGAACAAAGAAAGAACUUACUGUAAUUUUUGGUGUAUGUAAUCGAUAACCCUCAAUGCUUAAAAUGAAAAAGAAAAUAGAAAACAAACGUGGCAAAGUUAGUUACAAUGCCAGCUAAUUCGUUAUUGCUAUCCACAUGAAGAAUUUUAUAACCCCAACUACACGAUUCUAUGUCUACCAGCUCUCACUUUUCAUAUUUUUUGGCCAUUAGUUAUUCUAAGAUUUAACAUCACCGUUAAGCCAUGUUUAAACUCUUUUUUUUAUAUAAUAAUUAUAUUAUAUUUAAAAUUGAAAAAACUAACCAACCAAAUAUAUAUUAAUUAAUUAAUAGAAGUUUUUUGGUCAUCGAUUAAAAUAAAUCAAGAAAGACGUUGGAACCACCAACUUCUCUUUAAGAACAACACGAAUACAAGAAUCUAUGCACAACAAGUUCUAAAAUGUAUUAAGUAAAUUCAUCAUCAUGCCUUAAAAAAAGAAGAUCUCGAUAUAUCUGCUUUUGCCAAAGCAUCCGCCAUACCAUUACUUUGCCAGUGAAUAAUUGUGAAUUGAAACUUAGCCAAUUGAGUGAUAUUAAUUAUAGAAAUGAUUCUUCUUGCAACCAUAGAUGAAACACCACUGAGACUAACAAACUUGGAGAAACUUGAUUUGAGUUUUAACAUCUUCAGGAACAACACAAUUUCGUUUCUUGAAGGACUUUCAAACUUAAAUUAGUCCUUGGAUAUGCAUAAUAACACUCUGCAAGGCUCAUUAAUAGAUAUUAAAGGUACUGAAGCCAUAACUUUUUUUUCUUGAUAAUUCUUUUUAAAAUAUUUCAUAAUUAAUUGUUCUGAAUUUGUACAUUCACUUCUCACAUUUCUGGGUUUUUUUUGUCCUCAACUAAAUUAAACUUAUGCAAAUUUCUUGAAUAUUUAAGUUAAGAGUUAACGUCAAAGUCAAGAGUUGAUAAGUAUUUUGUGGUCCAUUCAUAUCUUUAUUACAAAAAAAAAAAAAUAUUCAAGAAAUUUGCAGCUAGUUGGAGUUUUGCAAUAAGGAAUUUCCACCAAGAGUUUUGGAGGAAUCAUAUCUCUAACAAAAAAAAAAAAGACCUUCAUUUGACUAAAUUUUUUAGUAUUUAUUUUAACUUCCAUUUUUAUUAAAAAAAAGGUAAAAAAUAUGCCAAACAGGGUCUUUAGGUUACUUUUUUUAGAACUAUAUUAUGUUAUAGUACCAUAUAAGUUAGAGGAGCACAAGUUUAGAUUCAUCCAAUUUUUGAGGAAUUAAUUAAAUAUAUAUUAUUUUAAUAUUAUAGUGUAUAGGGGCAAAGUUAGAAAAAAAUUUUGUGGAGUCGAAAUUAAAUUAUAGUUUUUACAAUAGUUAAAAAAAACAAUUUCACUAUUUUAAAAGCAUAUAUGUUUAUAAUUUUUAAAGAAUUAAAUUAAAUUUUUAUCAAUUUUAGGGGGUCAAUGUGCAAUUUUAUCUUUACUAAUUUCAGUUUUUGAAUUGGAUGAGGAUAUGUAUAGGAUUGAGCAAUUUAACAAAUUUGAAGAAACUCGAUUUAAGUUGGAAUGAAAUUGAAAGCUUUCAAUCCUUAAAUGGUAUGCAUUUAUAUUUAACCAAUUACCUAAAUUCUUAUAUAUAAUAAAAGUUUAUGCCAAUUCAUGUUAGUGAUGAAAUUAUAUAAAUCUUUUAUUGAUGGUGGUCGAAAAUUAGAGUUGACCCACUUGGAAGAGCUUUAUUUAGAUGGAAAUCAGUUCAAUACUAGUGUAUUUGCAUCCCUUAAGAAGCUUUCAAAUUUGAAAUCUUUGAGCAUAUGGGGCAAUGGAUUGAAAGGUAAAAAUAUUAGAUUUUUAACAAGAAUAUAAUAAUGUUGGAAGAGAAUAUAAUGAAGUUGAUUUUGUUGUUUUUGUUUUCCUAGAUUUGGAAACAUUUAUCAACUUAAGGGAACUAGAUAUGAGGGGUAAUGAAUCCACCAAUGUAUCAUUUAAUUAAACUUUCAUUUUUGUUCAAAAUUUAGAAAUUUAGUUUCAAUUCUUAGUAAAGGUUAUUGUGAUAGAUACUAAAAAAAAAUUAUAUCAUUUCAUACUUGAAACAAAUGGGUGGAAAAACAGAAUUCAGUUUUUAAAAAAAAAAUUUAAGAAAUAAGGGUUUGGUGAAAAGAUCUUCUAAAUCCUUAUAGUUUUCUUGGUUUUCUUUCGUCGGGAAAUGCAUCACCACCUGUCGUUUCUCAAUUGGAGGCAGCUGUCUUGCGUAUUACAUCUUCAAGCGAUGUGUUUAACUAUCAUGAAGAUUUAUGCAAAGUUUGUUCAUGUUGUCUUGGGAAAAAAUUCUGCUAUGAUCUUUUAUAUCAGGUGAUCACCUGAUUGUUUUUGGUGCUAAGUCGGAUUUUGUUUAUUUUAUAUUUUGAUUAAAGCUUUUAUCUUUGUGUGAAGGAAGCUUAUAACCUUUGUCUUGUCGGUUUUAUUGUUGUAGACAUAUAGUCAAUUAUAUUCACUCUUCCAUCCAUCUCCAAGUUAUUUGGUAUUAAAUAUCUUUUUUAAAUUAUAUUCUGCUUUAUUAAAUAAAAUUCCAAAUAAAAACCAAGUUUAUAUCUUUUUCAAACACUUCUCUCUAUGCAUUUAUGACAUGUUUUUCGAUAUAAAAGUUAUAUACACAAGCAGAUAUUCCUACUCUUUAGAUUUGCUAGGCACCCAUGCAUACAUAUGUAGAAGUAUUUGCUUUGGGAUGUAAUGUGGUGAGACUAUCAUCACAGUUUUUCUUAAGACAAAUGUGAAAGAAAUAGAUUAUUAGAUCCAACAGUAAACAAAGGGGAUCAAACUUAAGUUAAUCCUACUCUUCAUUUUUAUAUCUAAUCAUUUACGAACAUGGUUUUUAGUCAAGGGGGGUUGGGUUUGAGUGGUCGACCCAUUUUUUAGGUGUAAGAUGAGUUUAUCAUUUUCAAAUUUGUUGAUAAUCCUUCAUUUAAUCUGCAGUGGAGUUGAUAGAUAGUCUUAAGAUACUGCCCCAAGAAACUAGAUAUAGUAAAUGUUGGUGUUGGCUUUGGGAUUAAAAGGCUGCCGCCUCAACCUUGCUAUAAAAGCAGCCCAAAUUUGAUCUCCCACUUUAUUUGUAGACAACUAUUUACUUUGGAGAAGUCUUUUAAUUGAGGGUUUCGUUAAUUUGUAAAUCUUAUCAUACGGUGUGGAUGUUGGAGAAUGUAGGCAUUUUGUUAAACCUCUUAAAUUUAGUGUGUGUUUUCCUUUAUUAUUUUAUUUGUAUUUAUUGGUUUUUCUGUUACGUUUUAAUAUUCAAUUAUGAUUUGGUGGGUUAAUCCGUUGUGUUGAGUAGUUUCAAUUUACUUUUGGUGUUCAUUAUUGAAGUUACAUUAACAUUAUUAAUUCUCAAUUUAGCAUCAUAAUUUUAAUAACCACAUAAUUUUAAUUUUUAAAUGUUAGAGAAUUAAUAAUGUUAGUUAUUUUAAUGAAUCCAUAACAUUAAUAUCAAUAAAAGGAAUAAAAUAUAUCAAAUUAAAUAAUAAAAACUAAAAUUUUAAUUCAAUUGAGCAAGUCUAGGGAUUAAAAUUAUAAAUUGACGUAUAAUAAUUUCUCAGGCAUUAAUUGUGAGAUUAUUUCCAUGAGGGGGGCCUAGAUAAGCUCAAGGUUGAUGCAGAAAUCAAUAGUCAACAUUUGAAAGUUAAUACAAUGAAUUAUGUGACUGUUGAUAUAUGUAAUGAUAUUUUCUUAACAAUUUCCUCCAACUACUUCGUAGAUGCAUGGUGUUAUAUCACAUCACAAUGGGUGACCAAAUGCAUAUAAUUGAGAUUGAGAGUUUGGACCUUUCUUACAAUAGCUUGAGUGGUGAAAAUAAUUAUUUAUAAAUUUUAUACUUCAAAAACUAAUGAAAUAUUCAAAUUAAGAAUAGUGAAUUAUUAUGAUAAUGGAUAGUUUUAAAGUAGUGGUCUAGUAGAAAUUUUAAAUUUAAAUAUAGUUGAUAUAAUUAAAUUAUAAAAAAAACAUUAAUUAUUAAAUUGCAUUUAAUUACAUUAGUUGUUGUGAUUACCUAUUUCUCCAAAACGAAAAGCAUAAUCAUAAUAAUUUUUAAAGCUAUCAAAAUUCAGAUUCCCAAACCUCAUGUGAUUGCCAUAGAAAACCUUUUUUCACAAAACUACAUUUUUCUACACGGUAGGAACUUUCCUGGUAAAACAAGACAUACUUUUCUACACAUUUAAUCAAAUUAUGUCAAUAUCAGUUGGCCAUCAAAAUUCAGAUUCCCAAACCCCAUGUGAUUGCCACAAAUAAACUACAUUUUUCUACACGAUAAGAACUUUCCUCGUAAACCAAGUUGGAACCUUUUAAUAGUUUAUAAAAAAACCUUUAAAAAAUAUUUUAGGGAUGUUAUUUUUAAAAUAUUUUUUCAUAACACUUUAAUUAUAUAAAAACUAAAAUUAGAAAUUGACUAGUAAUAAUUCUCAAGGUUAAGGUUGACACAGUAUGUUGAAUUUAUGUUUAAAUUUUGGGUUAUUUUUCUCAAUUAUAGAUUAAUUAAUAUUUUGUACAUUGUGAACUCCACGAACAAGAUUUAAUACAUGACACGUAUUUGAUUUAAUUUAAUUUAAUUUUUAUUUUAUAAAACUUUCAUUAUUAUUCAUUAUCAUUUACCGUAUAUAUAUUCCACUCCUUCUUACUAUAUCUCAACGGAGAAAGUGAAGGUUAUUCAAGGAAAUGGUAAUGUGUGUGUGUUUUUUUUUUUUAUGAAAUGGAUCCAGUUACUAGAUUUUAAUUUUAAUCUUCACUAAACAACAUUUGUUAGAUUUAUUAAGGUUUAUUAUUUCCAAAAUUUGGUGUAGAAAACAUAUUAUUAUAUGUAUAGAAGACCCUUUUUUCCAUAAAACUAAAAUUUCCCUCACAAUAAAAUACAAAACUCGUUCUCGUAAAUAUUUUGAAAAAUAAAAAAAUUUAAUAUUAUUAUUAAUUAACGAAUUACCAAUUUAAUAUAAAUAUAAAACUGUACUUUUAAGUUUAUAAAAUUUAUUAUUUAUCUUUGAUUCUGAAGAUAGAGAAAUUAGGGCCAUAACGACGACUUGGAUUAUGAUUGCACAUUUUCCAAGUCUCAUUUUUGUUAAUUAGGAAAACUGAUGGGCAUCUCCACUAAAUUUAUGUUGAAAAAUUUGGAGUUGUUGCGACAUAGGCACAAUAAACAUCUUUUAACAUUUAUAUGUUUGAGAAUUUAUCGAAUUGUAUCUUUGGGCUAAGUUGAUAUCGUUGGUUUUAUCAAGUCCAUCAAUGAAUAUUAUAGUACUUGGAGAAACUUAUUUGAAGGACCGAGUCAAAUUGGAUUGGAUCAAGUCUAUCUAAUUUCUUAAAUUGAGGAAGUUGGAACAGAUUGAAACAUUAGUACCUUAUUUGCCAAUGGCUCAUAUUACCUUAGUUGUUAUUAUUAUAUUGUAUUCUACUAUUUUAGUUGCCUUUUAGAAGGGAUUGUGAAUGAUCUUCAUUAGGUUAGCAAGUCUUAAAAUAUUUAUAUAAUUAAGAGACUUGUAUAGGUUAUUGUAUUGAUCAUUAUUUAUGUGAGUGUAUUUGAUUGUAAAACUUUUAUGUUGUGGUUUUGCAGGCAAAAUUCUUAAAGGGAGAAUUUAGUGAUGAGAGACUAGUCACCAAACUACAAGAGUGAAGAUUCUAAAUCAGGAUGUGUUAGAAUUAACUUCAUUGGUUAAUGUUGAUUUUUUUUUUAAAAAAGUUUCCAUGUCAUUAUGGUGAGAUGAAUUAUUUCAAACAAUAAAUUAAUGGAAAAUAACUCUUUUAAUAACCACAUAACUUUAAUUUUUAAAUGUGAGAGAAUUUAUGAUUUCUAGUUUCUAUUUUUUUUUAAAUCCACAUGAGCCAACUAAUGAAAUUUUUAAUAAUGUUAGUUAUUUUAACAAAUCCAUAACAUUAACAUCGAUAAGAGGAAAAAAUAUAUUAAAUUUGAACGUUAUGAAUUUACGAACUAAAAUUUAAAUAAUUUUCUUCUCCGACUUCCGACAUUGACUGUCAAAUCAACUUGGAUAAGGGUAGGAUCCAAGAGGGGCUGGCAAGGGCUGCGGCUCCCCUAAAAUGAAAAAUUUUCUAUUUAAGCCCUUUAUAAUUUAUAAAAUUUUAAAUUAGUAACAGUAGAUUUGCACUUUGGCUCCCCAAAAUAAUAAAAAAUUGAUUUAGUUCUCAAAAAAUUAUAAAGAUAUAAGCUAUUAAAAUGAUAAAAUUUCAUUUCUACUAUCGUAAAAAUAUACAAUUUAAUUCUAGCCCCCCCCCCCAAAAAAAAUUUCCUAGCUUUGUCCCUAACUUGGAUUUAAGGUAUGUUCUUUUACUCAUCGAUGGGUACUAAUUCACCGUACCGGUCGUCAAAUCAUCGUUUGAAACUCGCUAGUUAGACCUUAUUUUUCAAAAAAGAAAAACUUAACAGUCUAGUGACUUAAAUAAAAACUCUUGAAUAGUUUAGUGUCUUAAAUGAAAAUUUUUGAAUAGUUCAAUGAUCAUUUUAUAACUUUUUUGUAGUUGAAUGACCAAAUAAACUUACUAAAAAUUUAAUGACCUUGAACGUAAUUUACCCUAAUAAUUAAUAGGGUGGAAAAGAAUUUUACAACCCAAACUACAUGAUUUUAUGUCCAACUCAUACUCUUGGUUAAAAAGUCAACUAGAAAAUGACAGCACGGAAAACCAAGGAAAACCAAACACUAACUGGAGUGUUCAUCAAGUUUUAUAAUCUUAAUUAAAUUUAUUAAUAAUAUAUUUAAAAAUAUUUUUAUAUCAAUAUUUAAAAUUAAAUUAUCAAAAUAAUUAGGUGCAAUAGUAAUGAAUAUUGCAUUCUCAAGGGGAGAUGCAUGUUCGAACAUCAGAAAUGACAUUAUUAAGAAUGACAGUCACGAACUCCGAACAUGAAUUGUAAAUCAUAUUUAAAGAAUAUAAAUAUUAUGGUGGAAUCAGUUGCACUAUUAAGAGUUCUUGAUAACAUUAGUUAUAAAAAAAUACAAAAAUAUAAAUUAAUUUGAAAUUUAAUUUUUAUAUCGAGAAAUGAUAUUGUGAAAUUUUGUUUUUAAAAGCACAAAAAUAUAUAUAUUUUAACAUGGAAAAUAAGUAUAAACAUUUUUAACAUUUUAAUAAGAAUUAAUUAAAGGUGUCAACUAUUUAGACUAACUAAUAAUAUUAUAAAAGUAAGUGAAUUAAAUUAGGUUAAAUUAAAAUAUAAAUACAAAAUCUUAAAUUUAAAUAUAGUUAAUGUAAUUAAAUUAUAAAAAAAAUUAAUUAUUAAAUUACAUUUAAUUAAAUUAGUUGUUGUGAUUACCUAUUUCUCCAAAACGAAGAGCGUAAUUAAUCAUAAUAAAAUUUAAAUUUAGUGAAUCUCGGUUGGCUAUCAAAAUUCAAAUUCCCAAACCCCAUGUGAUUGCCACAAAUUAGUGCAUAGAAGACCUUUUUUCACAAAACUACAUUUUUCUACAGGAUAGGAACUUUCCUAGUAAAAGAAGACGUACUUAAUAAUAUAUUUUUAUGAGAGUGUUUAUACCUUUUAAUAGUUUAUAUAAAACCUUUAAAAAGUUGUACAUAUGUUUAUAGUAAUGAACAAAUGUUUAAAGUUUAGGUUAUUUUUCUCCAUUAUGGAUUAGUAUUUUGUUCAUUGUGAACUUCACGAAUAAGAUUUAAUACAUUAUAUGUAUAUGAUUUAAUUUAUUUUUAUUUUAUAAAACUUCCAUUAUUAUUCAUUAUCUGUUUUACUCAUUAAUGGAAUGUGGUGUUAUUAUUCAUUUACCGAAUACAUCAAAUAUUACCUUACAUCUAUUCCACUCCCUCUUACUAUAUCUCAAUGGAGAAAUUGAAGGUCAUUCAAGGAAAUGGUAACGUGUACUAUUCAUUGUUAUUCAUUAUUUGUUAUAUUCUAUGCUAUAUUUGUUAUUUCUAACACCUAGUUUACAUGAUUGAUGCCUUUGAUCAGCUUGGAUUUGCGGUCUUGUCCAGACAUUGCUUUAUGCUGAUUUCUUCUACUAUUACUUCCAGAGGUUUCUCACGCUCUGGAAAGCACUUCAUAGUACCUAUGUGAAUGAUUGCAACUUAUUUGAUUAUUAUGCCUGCAGCUGCAAGAAUAACAUGAAGCUCCAAUUACCAGCUUGAGAUUUUAAUGGUGCAAGUUUUGUAGUAGCAUACAUAGAUAUAAGGUGGUCAAUCUGCUUUGAUAACUGGUGCUUGAUAUUUUAUUUAUUUACCCCUUUGUUAGGGGUGCUUUUAGCAAGCUUUUAAGCAACAUAGCUUGGUUAAGACCCAAAUUCUAUAUGCCUUAAGAGAUUGUAUUGCAUAAUCUGUAUGUGGAUAUCCAAGGAUUGAUAAUCACGUUUGUUUUUAAUCUAUUGCAGAUAGUAAUUGAAAUAUUUAAAUUCGAAUAUUAUCCGAAUUUGUAAGAUUUAAAUUUACAAAGAGCCGAUCAGAUGUGUACAAUCAUUUCAAAUCUAUAGUAGUACAAUCAUUGGCUUAUCACCAGGACCAGCAAUGGCCUUGAAUGGCCAAUGCUUCAUAUUGCUGUGUACCAAAGGGUCAGUGAACCGACGACCAAUCAGAAGUUUAGCAUCGGAAGAGACUUUAAACAUUUUUGUUCAAAAACAUCCAAAGAGAGGAGACUAAGAAAUUUCCUGGACUUCCAACAUUUCCUUGAAUUGAAACCUUAUACCUAUAUUUUAGGCAUCAAAUCUCACAGGUUCAUGUUGAGUUCAAAAUCUACUUCUUUUGAAGUGUAACAGAGGCAUUCUCCAAUUGACUUGAAAGAAUCAUAAAAGCAGACGUAAGUUUUCCACCAAUUAGAACAUUUUGAAAAUUGAUGUCAAGCCCGAAAUGACCGUCACAAGUAAGCAUAUUAAACGUGUGAAGAGAAGACCUUAUUUUUCCACAUAACUAAAACUUUUUACACCAUAGGAACUUUCAUCGUCAUCAAGUUGGACAUAGAUGGAACUCACGUUAAACACACACAUAUAUAAAAUUUACAGCAAAGUUUUUAAGCAAAUAUGGAAUGUAGGUUUUGUUGGUAUAUUUUAUUGUAGGGUGUAAUUGAAUCUAUUCGAACUCAAUACGGUUAAACUCAAGUUUAAUUUGAAAUUCAAAGCUUGAUACUCGAUUGAACAUAUAUUUUUAAGCUCGAAAUUAAAUCUGUUUAUCAAUUUUUGUACUCGAGUUCGAGCUCGCCUCAAUAAUUAAACUUAGGGUUAACAAUAUAUAUUAAAGGCAAUAAUGUAAUCUAAUAAUAUAAAAAUAUGAAAAGUUCAAUAAGGCUCCCAAACUACUCGAGUCAAGUAUUACUAAGCUUGAAUCCGGAUCGACCUAUAGCUCGGCGCAAUAAUUACCGAAUCAAAUUCAAAAUUUUUUGAGCCGAAUUCGAAUAGCUUGCGGGUACGGAUGUCUCAUUUGCACCCCUAUACUUCAUUAGAUAACAAGUGGCAUUUUGAAUUAUUAUAGGUAUAAUAAUUACUUUGUUAAUUACUUUAUUAGUAUCUUAAACAAGAAAGCAUUUAUAUAGCUGCAAUGUAUUAUUUCAAAUAUUUGUGAUUUUAAAAAGUAUUAUUUUACCUACAAGUGUAUGUUUGAACCGUUGAGACGACGUUGUUGAAAGGGGAUAGUCAUAAACCUCGAACAUAGACCAUAACACAAAAAUAAAAAAUAAAAAUAAAUAUUAUGUCCAUGAAUAAAACAAAAAAUGAAGAACUAAAAUUUCCAUUAAUAAAGCGAAAUCAAGACUAACUUUAUAUAAGUGUAAGAAGGGCAUAAAAAAUAUAUUAUGUCCACAUGAAGAAUUUUAUAACCCCAACUACACGAUUUUAUGUCCACCUCUCACUUUUCAUAUUUUUUUGGCCAUUCGUUUUUCAAGAUUGACAUCGACAUUAGAUUUAAAAUCAACGUUAAGCCAUGUUUAAAUUUUUUAAUAGAAUAUCAAGACUGAUUUUUUGUGAGUGAUUAAAAUUUUGUGUAAACUUAAAUGACUUAAAACUUAUCAUUCUUGUCAUCCCAUCUUCUCUCCAUGAAAGAAUUUUAAAAUGAACUUAGCAUUGAACGCCAAAGUCAAGAGUUGAUAAGCAUUUUUGUGGUCCAUUCAUCCUUUCUUAACGAAUUUCCAUCGAGAGUUUUUGCAAUAAGGAAUUUACGUAAAUAAGAAGCCUAGAUUGAUCCAAUUUUUGAGGAAUUAAUUAAUCAUAUAUUAUUUUUAUAUUAUAGUGAAUUAGUGGGAUGCAAUAUCUUCUGCUUGUAUAUAAUUAAACAAGAAGCUUAGGCUUCUUUAGAUUACAUACAUAUAUAGAAGUUAAUCUAUAUUUUCCACAAAACUAAAAUUUUCCACACGACUGAAACUUUCUUGGUCAAACAAGUUGGAUUUGGCUUCACCAAUAACUUAAUAAUCUGUACUAAAAGUUUCGACACAAUAGAAUACGAACUCGUUCUCGUAAAUAUUUUGAAAAAUAAAAAAUUUAAUAUUAUGAGUUAAUGAAUUACUAUAUUAAUUUAAAAAAUUAAAAGAUACAAUUUUUUUAAAGAAUUUAUGAAAUUAUAUAUUAAUAUAAUUGUUGACACCUUUUUUUUUGUGAAAACGGGGUCGACUUGGAUUUUAAAAAAUGAAAACGAAUAUGGAAGUCACCACCAAUCCUUUUUGAUAAGUUGUGAUCGGGCCACCUUGAAAAGUGGUUAUUUUUAAUAAACAAUUUAAUUUUAAUAAAAUAAUAAUUUUGGUCCACGAAAUUCAGAAAAACGGGUUUGGGAGUCGGUUACGUACGAGGAAAGAUUAGCACCCUCGUAACGCCCAAAAUUGGUACCUAGUUGAUUAAUUAAUGUCUUAGUAUCGAAGAUUGAAAACUUUAAAGAGAUUUAAAAUACGAUCCUUUAUUGAAAUGUUGAAAAUUUUCGGGAAAAAGCCAUAAUUCACAUUAAUCGAGAAAGAGAAUUAUAUCCAGUAGGUUAGGACACAAUGUCUUGAAUUCCCGAUGCGCGAAUGAAUGCCAAAAAUUUACUUAUUUAAAAAAUAUUUAGCUAUCUUAGAUUUAAAAAAAAAAGGGGAUCAUGCCCAGUAAGUUAGGACACGAUCUUUUCUUAAUUCCUGAGAUCAUUUAAAACUUGAGAAAAAAAAAGGAUCAUGCCCAAUAAGUUAGGACACGAUCUCUUCUUAAUUCCCGAGAUCAUUUAAAACUUGAUAAUUUUUAAUUCUCAAUUUAGCAUCAUAAUUUUAAUAACCACAUAAUUUUAAUUUUUAAAUGUUAUAGAAUUAAUAAUGUUAGUUAUUUUAAUAAAUCUAUAACAUUAAUAUUAAUAAGAGGAACAAAAUAUAUCAAAUUGAAACUAAAAUUUUAAUUCAAAUGAGUAAGUAUAGGGUUUAAAACUAUAAAUUGAUGUAUAAUAAUUUCUCAAGCAUUAAUUGUGACAUUAUUUCCAUGAGGAGGGGGCCUAUAUAAGCUCAAAGUUGACGUGAAGUCAAUAGUCAACAUUUGAAAGUUAAUGCAAUGAAUUAUGUGACUGUUGGAUAUAUGUAAUGAUAUUUUCUUAACAAUUUCCUCCAACUACUUUGUAGAUGGUGCUAUAUUACGUCACAAUGGGUCACCAAAUGUAUAUAAUUGAGGUUUUUAAGCAAAUAUUAUAGUUUAUCUUUAUCCAUGAAUAGUAUAAUAAUUAGGAUUAAUAUUUGGUACAUUGUUGCUGGAUUUUUUAAAUCUCAUAAGUAGAGUUAGAGGAUUGACACGUAUCCUAUAUAUGUGUAGUAUAUAAUAUUAAAAAAUAUAUAUUUUAAAAAAAUAGACACAUUUUAAUUUUUUAAUGUUGCUUGUGGGAUGCACUUGAAUUGUGGUUCAUAGAAGAAAAUUAUUAUAUAAACUAAGGUUUAAUUCUACCAUAGUUCUUGUACUUUACUGAAGUUGUAGAUUUAAUUUCUAGACUUUAAUUUGAUAUUUUAGAUAUUUAUUAAAUUCAUUAAGUCCUACUAUUUCUAAAUUUGGUGUGGCAAACAUAUUAUCAUAGGUGUAAUAUCACUAAAAUUCAAAAGAAUGAGAAAUUUGUACAUAUUAUCAGAUGUCAAUAUCAAGUUGAACAUUUCAAAAUCUAAAGUAAUAGUUCAAGUAUUUAUUUUUCCAUAAAACCAAAAUUUUCUACAUGAUGGCUUUUUUUUUUUGGCUAUUAGUUAAGAGGAAUUUUUUUUAUAACCCAAUUUAAUUAACUAAUUAAAAAAUGGUUCAAGUAAAACUCAAGUCAUAUUAAAAAUAAUUAUUUAUAAAUUUUAUGUUUCAAAAACUAAUGAAUGUUCAAAGAAUAGUGAAUUAUUAAAGAGAAGUUAUAUGAUAAUGGAUUGUUUUAAAGUAGUGGUCUAGUAGAAAUAAAUAGUUUUUUAUAAAAAAAUAUUAUAUAAAUAAUUAAAUUUUAUAGUUAUUCCUAUUUUUUUAAAAAAUAGUGAAUGUAAUAUUUUUUAAAAUGUUAAAUUAACUCAUGAUAUUAAUUAAAUCAAGAAAUUUUAUAAUAAUAGAGAUGAAAAAAACUAAAUUUUCAAAAUCAAAACCUAAAACGUGCAAGAAUAAAAGCAAUCUGAAGACUUAAAAUUUCCAUUAAUAAAACCAAAAUCAAAGAAGUAAAAUUUCCAUGAAUAAAACCAAAAAUGAAGACCUAAAUUUUCCAUUAAUAAAGCCAAGUCAAGACUAAGUUUGUAUAAGUGUAAGAAGGGUAUAAAUGAAACUCACAAGAAAGCCACAUGAAGAAUUUUAUAACUCCAACUACACGACUUUAUGUCCUCCUCUCACUUUUCAUAUUUUUUUGGCCAUUCAUUUUUCAAGAUUAACAUUAGCAUUCUUGUGGUCCGUUCAUCCUUUCCUAACCAAUUUCCACCAAGAGUUUUUGCAAUAAGGAAUUUACCUAAAUAAGAAACCUAGAUUGAUCCAACUUUUGAGGAAUUAAUUAAUUAUAUAUUAUUUUUAUAUUAUAAUGAAUUAGUGGGAUGCAGUAUGUUCUGCUUGUAUAUAAAUAAGAAGCUUAGGCUUCUUUAGAUUAUAUACAUAUAGAAGUUAACAAAAAGUAACAUAUAGCUGAGAGAGAAGUGAAAAUAGAGAGAUGAUGAUGAUGGAGUGGAAAUGGUUAAGGUUUAUUAGGAUGGCAGUAAUGUUGUUGGUGUUAGAAGGAUGCAGAUGGUGUACUACUGAUGCUUGUUUGGAGCAUGAGAGAAUCGCUCUCUUGCAUCUCA